UGGGGUAUCGCUGAGCUAGUCAACCACCCUCACAUCCAACAGAAACUCCGUGAAGAGAUCGACGCAGUUCUUGGACCAGGAGUGCAAGUAACUGAGCCAGACACCCACAAGCUUCCGUACCUUCAGGCUGUGAUCAAGGAGACUCUUAGACUCCGGAUGGCAAUUCCUCUUUUAGUCCCACACAUGAACCUUCAUGAUGCAAAGCUUGCUGGAUAUGAUAUUCCAGCAGAGAGCAAAAUCUUGGUUAACGCUUGGUGGUUGGCUAACAACCCCGCUCACUGGAAGAAACCGGAAGAGUUCAGGCCCGAGAGGUUCUUGGAAGAGGAGAAGCACGUCGAUGCCAAUGGCAAUGACUUCAGAUUCCUUCCAUUCGGUGUUGGUAGGAGGAGUUGCCCCGGAAUUAUCCUAGCGCUGCCAAUUCUCGGCAUCACUUUGGGACGUUUGGUGCAGAAUUUUGAGCUAUUGCCACCUCCGGGGCAGUCAAAGCUCGACACCACGGAGAAAGGUGGACAGUUCAGUCUCCACAUUUUGAAGCAUUCCACCAUUGUGAUGAAACCAAGAUCUUUCUGAACUGUGUAAUACUAUCUAUCAGUUAAGGGGCUCUGGAGAAAUCUGAUAAUUAUGAUUAUUGUUGUUUGAUUGUAAACUUUUAUUUAAGUUCGACAGAAAACAUUCUUCUUUCUUUUGCCAUAUAAAAGCCUUCUUGGACUAGAUUCAUUGUAAGUUCUGCCUAUCUGAUGUAUUUUCUUGAUGUACAAUGGGAAUUUUGCUUUCUGACAUUUGCAUUUCUUUUUUUUGCAAAAAUCAUGGAGUUGAUUUCUUAUACGAUUAUUUAAUUAAUCAUUAUUCCAAAAGUCACUUUUCUGAUCAAGAAAAACUGUGACUAGUUGCGUGAAAAAUCAAUUAUAAAAAAUGCGUUGACUUUUGGACCUUGUAGUACUUUCUGAUUACUACAAUGAUAGAAGCCUCAAAUUGAGGGGAGCGCUUUCAUUCGUCUUUUGCUCUAAUUCGAACUAACAAUCGGUUGAAAGUGAGGUGCACUUGUUAUUUGAGCAGCUUCAUCUUGUCAAUUACAUUAAUUAUUAUUCAUUAAUAGUCAAUUUGUAUGUAAAUGCAGGUUAUUUAACUGUGAUUAAGUGAUAAUUAACCGUAAUUAAGUGAUAAAUUCAUAUAAAAACAUGUAAUAGGAGUACAUUUAUCUUUAAUAUUAAAGAAAAUGAAUGCAACAUUGAAUGUGUGAAAAUAGUUGGUGAACCUGGUCCAGCAUCCAUUAAUUUUACCUGGCCUAUGAAGUCAAAUAAAUCCUAUUUAAAUCUUAGUAUUACUUUUCUUCACCAAACCCCGUUAGGUAAUUUUAAACAACUCGAUCAAAUCAAAUUGAUUUAGUUCAUUUCAACUUUUUGGAAAAAUGAGCCAAAAUAUAUUUAGCCAAAUAGUUGCUAUAUUUCGAUUUAAAUAUUUUGGAUUAAUUAAUACAUCACAUUAGUCUCAACAUACAGUAAAAUUUUGAGUGCGUUCGAAUUGAGACUAAUGUAUAUAAUUAAGGAAAUGACAUAUGUUAUGUGGUUAACUUGAUUAUCUGAUAGACGUUUGAGAACAAGCGUAAUUUCUUUUGCAAAAUCUAAACCAAAAUCGUUUGAUGAAUAUUUUACUGUGUAUACAAGUGCUCAACUGAACAAGAUGCAGUUCAAAUAUUAGAAAUAAAAUUUAAUAGAUUUUCGAUGUCUAUUUUAUAUAUUUUGAACUUUGGCUCUUUAAACUAUCAUCUACUCAGUAUAAUCAACUUUAACACCAUAUCAAUUAUACCUUGGGUUGUACAGUGUAUAAUGGUGAAUUUUGGUCCAAAGUAUUCAAAUAAAAAAUAAAGAAAUUUGACCUCAUAAAUUAAGUCAAGAUAAGAUUUUGAUCACUAGAAUUGAAUUUCUUAACCUAUAUGUACUUUGAUUGUCUAAAUAAUUUUAAAUUUUGACAUGUAGAACGUUGAUUUGGUUUAAGUUUAAUCCUAAAAAGAACGGCUUAAUGAGUAUAUUUAAUCCCGUAAGUUAGUAGGCGUUUUGUCUUAAAAAAUCAAUAUAAUUCAUUUAUAUGAAAUUUUUAAAGUUAAAGUUGUAUUUAACUACACUCUUUGUAAAAAAUAUUUAAAACUUAAAUAUAAUUUUGAAAAAUAUGUCUUAUACCCAUAAUUUUUUAAAACUAAUAAAAUCAUUCAAUUUGACUUGUUUAUUUAAAAAAAAAAAAACAAAUCUUCUCUAAAAGAAUAUCACAUCUAUUGCACCAAAUUAAAAUAAGGACGAACUAUCAACCAGUUAGGUAAAAGUUGACACAAUCAAAAGAAGAAGAAAAAAAGCAUAAAAAAUGUUUUCCAACAAUUGAGCUAAAAGAAAAUUGAAGAUGUAAAUACAUAAUCCAAUUGAAAAUGUUUCACCUAGGAGGAGUUAGAAUUUAGAAAAGGCAAAUUAGACUAUACUAUAUUUGAACUCUAAAAGUGAUUUUUUCCAAAUUAGACUUUUCUUAUGGUAUUAACUCUCUGAUGUUUUUAGGAUUUAUUAUAUAUUUUAAUAAGAUCAAAUAUUUGGGGAAGGCCUGGGGUGUUUAUUAUUUAUGUUUAUACGACAAUUUAUGAUGAUUUUGUUAGUUAGUUUUUUUUUUUUUAAUAUAUAUAAUAACAUAUGAAUUAAUCAGAGAUAAUUGAAUUAUGUAAUAAAAUAAAGGAAGAACCACAUAGAAUAGAAUGGAAAGAGAAGAGAGAUUGAUUAUUAUUUCUCCUCUUAAGAAGUUUCUUCGUAGAUUAAUUACAAUGAAUGAAAAUUCCUUUAUUUAUAUGGAAAAAUUAACCUUGAAAUUUUUAACUUUUUCAUAAAUAGAUAUUCACUAUAUAUGGUAAAGUAGACAUUCAUUGUAUAUGGUAAUAUAUUUAUAACACUCCUCCUUGAAUGUCUAAUUGAUAGAUAAUGUGUCUCAUUAAAACCUUACUAGAAAAAAUCUUGUGGAAAAAAAAAAUCUAGUGAAGGAAAAUAGUACACAUCUCUAACAAUACACAUAUAGGUUGUCUCAUUAAAAAUCUUACAAGAAAAACCCAUUCGGACAAAAUCUCGUAAGAAAAAAAAAGUAUAUCGCGUAUUAACUCUCCUUAAUGAGAACAUCCUUGUACCUCGAUCUUGUGCACCAUCUUCUUGAAAGUUGCAAUUGGAGGGGACUUGGUGAAUAAAUCAACCACAUUGUCACUUGAACGAAUAUGUUGCACGUUAAUAUCAUCAUUCUUUUGUAGCUUAUGUGUAUAGAAAAUUUUUGGCGCAAUGUGUUUCGUUCUAUCUUCUUGAGUCCUCCCUUAAGUUGUGUUGUGUGUGUUGCAUUAUCUCCGUAUAAAAUUGUGGGUACAUUGUUAUAUUUCACAUCACAUUUUUCUCGAAUGAGAUUUAUCAUGAAUCUCAACCAUACUCAUUCUCGGCUUGCUUCAUGAAUAACUAUUAUCUCAGCAUGAUUCGAUGAAGUGGCUAGAUAGACUGCUUUGUAUAUCUCCAAGUUAUGACAGUACCCCCACAUAUGAACACAUAACUUAUUUGUGAUCGAGCUUUAUACGGGUCAGAUAAGUAUCCGGCAUCAACAUAACCAACAAGAUCGGGACUAAAAUUUUUAGAAUAAACAAGCUCAUAUGUUUGAUCUCAUUUCGAUGUCUCCUAGUAGGAGCAGAACUAUAUCUUGCUAACAAAUUGACCGAAAAGACUAUAUCAGACCUUGUGAUAUUUGCAAGAUGCAUGAGUGCACCAAUUGCACUAAGAUGUGGUACUUCAUAACCAAUCUAAAUUGGUAUAUUUUUUAUUUUAGCAAAUAAUCUAUUACUUUUGAAAACUCUCCAAGAGUUUCAAUAAUAUUCAAACCAUCAAUUUAUCCCUUAUAGGGAUAAUAAACAAGUUUUUCAGAAACUUUAUAUGCUUCAGGCAUUUUAAAUCCUUUAGAAAUUUUCAUAUAGAUUUUUGUCAAGUGACAAUAUCAAUAUGUGUAACAUAAGUGUCUGGACUGCAAAUCAAAUAAAUAUUAUGCUUACCAAGAUGCAUCAUUUCAUGUCACUUGAUAAAUGUUUCUAUGUUAGCAUGCAAAAUUCAAAUCCUCGUAAUCUUUUACAAUAUUGCUCUAAUAUUGUAUCAAAGAUAUCGUUGAUGUUUCUCAUUUUUUAUCGAUUCGCAAUGUGACAUAACAUUUUGAGAUCUCUAUCACUUCAUUAUUUUCAGGUACCUGAACCUCUCAUAAGGUUUCAUGAAGUGUCAUGUCGUAGGUUCUUCAAGAGCACAUUACCUUCUUGCUAUGAUCAUUUGUUUCAUUUUCUUUUUAAAAAAUUAUUGCAUUCAAAACCGAUUGAUCUACCAUGUUUCAUACAUGUAGUAGACUUUGCCCUUCAGAGACAUCCAAUUGAAGCAUUUACAGCAAAAUAUAAUAUCAAUUUUUGGAUCAACAAAUGCUCCUAGCAUUUGAACUUGAAUUAUCCUUUGAAUAGGGAUCAUAUUGAUGAUAAUUCAUAACAUAUUUCUUAAAUGUUUAUUAUCUCCCCCUCAUACUAGGAAAACUAACAUACAUCUUAAUUUGCUUUAGAGAAUUCAUCUUUGUGCACAUGAUAUAUCCAUUGAUCAAAUACCACAUAUUAAAACUACUGAUGAAAUAAUUGGUUCCUGACCUUGAACUAAUUGAGAGGGGAAUUUACUGAUCUAAUGCAUACGAGUGUUAUUGUAUGUAAUAUAUCAUAUUUCAUACCAACACAUGCAGCUCUGUUCUCAUUAGCAAUGAUUUAGCUAUUAUCGAAGACAUUCAAUGCCAAAUCAGCAUUAUCAAGAUAAAUUAUCUUGAUUAUAUAAUAUGAAAAUUAUGCUUUUAACUCCAUUUAUAUUGAGCAAGCAAAUCUAUGAAUGCCAACUAUAGGUUGACAAUAGACGUACAUAUGAUCAUCUUAUAUUGAUGUGUCUUAAUAUAUAUUACAUGAUAGAUGAACGGUCCCUUAUUCACCUUUAAUAUUUUUUUCAGAUUUUAAGGGAUCCAAUCACAACAUUAGUUGGUCCAACCAAUUUAUCAUGAGAGCACACAACAUUAAGAGUUAAUGAAGGAUUUUCGAAUUCUUCAAUAUUUGUUUAAUACUCAGUAUGCACAUCUUUGGGAUGUCGCAAUUGUUCAUGUUAAUUUAUGAACUUUUAUUAUAGCAAAUUCCAAGUUUACCAUGACAUAUACCUUUUACUUUACUAAAUUUCAGAUUUACUAUUACAUGAAUAAAUUUUAGAUUUACUACUUUAAAAGUAGAUUUUAUAGUAACUCUUCUCAGUUAUUCAACCUCUUUCGGCGGUGAGUUGUGAUACCAUCACAAUCACGUGUGCGUUUGCAUUAAAAAGCUUCUCAUUCCCCAGGAAUGAAAUAUAAUUGUGCCUUAAACCUAUCAAAUUAUGAUAGCUUAUAGCCUCUUUUUAAGAUAUUGCUAAUUCAGGAGCAAAUCGAGGCAUACAUAUGGUUGUAGAGAAAUUUUCUCUAACAUAUCUUUUAAUCAUGAUAAAUGUGUAAAAAUAUUAUCACUUUUGAUGAUUAUUAUCAUAUUGUCCCUCCACGUUUAUAUCCGUGCAUUCAAUCACUUGUCUUCUUUCAGACAUAUUAUGCACUGCUACCAUAUACACACAUACACUUAAAAAAUGAAGUAAGUUGUCAUAUUUCAGACUUAUCAUAUAUUGCUACCACAUUCACUUCAUGGAAUGGAGCAAAUUUAAUGAGUUGGAUUUCAUAACUUUUCAUCAAAUACUCAUUAUUUUGUCUUAGCCAUCAUAAUAUCAUCAGUAUAGUGCAUUGAGAUUCAAACUCAACGUCUUAUCCACAUAAAUGCAUCUUAUGCUAUAAAUAGAUCGGACUUGAACCCAACAUCUUAUCAUCAUGGUGCAUUGAAACUUUUAACCCAAUGUCUUAAUGAGAUGAGACUUAAAUUCAUCAUCAUAUUUUUUAAUAAUAUUGUUCUUCAUGAACAAAUUGAAACCAUAAGUGGUUCCAAACCAAUUAUUUUUCUCCCAAAUCCAACAAUAAUUAUAUCAUUAGUUGAAAAGGACAAAUAACAUAAGAAAUUACUAAUCUUGAAAUUACUUUUAGAUUUAUAUUCUCACUUUGUUUGACAAAUUCUCAUGCUGAUAACGUGUUAUAAAAUAUAAAACAAGAACAACAAGAAUAGAAUAGAGCGAGAAGAGAGAGUGAUUAUUAUUUCUCCUCUUAAGAAGUUUCUUGAUGGGUUAAUUACAAUGAAGGAAAACCAUUAUUUAUAGGGGAAGACUAACGUUUCUAAGAAACUUUUUCAUAAAGGUAAAAUAGAAAUUCACUAUAUAUGAUAAUAUAUUUAUAACAAAUUAUUCAAUUUAAAGAUAGUUGAGGAUUGAGAGUUAAUCACAAAUUCUUCAAUUUUGGAUUGUGACAAUUUUGUCUCUUCCCAUAUACAUUUGAAUUCACUCAAUUUAAAGAUAAUUGAGUGUCGAAUCACUAAUUUUUUAAAUUUUGAAUACUGAAAAUUAUAUUUCUCUUCUUAUGCACUCGAAUUACUCAGAUAAUCAUAAUUAAUUAACACAAAUUAAAGAUAGUUGAGUGUCAAUCACGAAUCUUCUAAAUUUUGAAUUAUGGAGAUUUUGAAUAAGUUCUUUACUCUUUGAUUCUGUCAAGAUAUAUCCUUUAUAUAAUUUUUAGAACAAUAAUUGCAUGUGGCAAAAAAUAACUAUAAAAGUUUUCAGGAUUAAACUUAUUUGUAAAAGUUCAUAGCCUAGGUUAGAGUAUUCUUAACUUUUUUUUUUUAUUUUUUUUAUUUUUUUACACUUAAACAACAAUGGCUGAAGAUAUUUUCAUUUAACUUUUCCGCUGCUUUGACUUUGUAAUAUGUGUUUUUUUUUUUUUUUGGUAAACACUUUGUAAUAUGUGUUGAAAAAGAAAAUGACGAAAACCUAAACAACGUGCGGAGGAAAACUACUUUUCUUUCUUAUAUACUUUUAACUUUAAGAAUAUCAAUUUGAUAUUUUGCGAACUCUUAAUGAUAACAUGAGCAGGCUGCCUAAUUCAGUUUCUAAUUAAAAUAUAUAAAAAAAAGGGUAAUUCGGUGCACUAAAGCUAUCGCUAUACGCCGUGUCCGGGGAAGGGCCCUACCACAAGGGUGUAUCGUACGCAAUCUUACCUUGUAUUUCUACUUAAACCUGUGACCUCCUGAUCUCAUGACAUCAACUUUACCCGUUACUGCUCCCGAAAAUAUCUUCCUAAUAAUUCAGCCUCAACUCAUUUUCACAUUAGAUGAGGAUGCAGGUGUUUGACCAAAAGACUUGGAAUUCAAUUUUAAGUUUUGAUUUGAAAUUAUCGUUUGUUUAUAAGAUUUGUACAAAAAUUAAAAUUUUAGAUACUUUAAAAGUAAGAUUUCAAAUUUCAACCUGCAAUGUCAAUUUUUUUAAAUGUAAAGUUUGAUCUAUUAAUUUAUAUUUUAUUUAAAAAAAUUAACAUUGAUGUGAAUAUAUCGCAUGUAUCAUAUGGAGGAAUUAUUUAAAAUGUAAAAUUUGAUCUAUAAAUUUAUAUUUUAUUUAAAAAAAUUAACAUCGAUGUGAAUAUAUCGCAUCUAUUAUAUGGAGGAAUUAUAUUAAAUAAUAACUAGUUAAUUUUCAUAGAAUUAUGCAUUUACAAAACCUUUGUAAUAGGCUAAUAGCAUGUAUCACAAGCAUUUAUUUAUAAAAAUAAAUAAAUGAAGAUAUGCAUUUUAUUAAUGCGACACUUAGUAUAUAUGAAUAUAUUAUUUAUAAAUCAUGAUGUGGUAAUUAACAAGAUUGUAUAAAUAUUGAGAAGUUUAAUAUAGUUUCACAAAUUGUGAGACUUUUAUAUUUAUGAAUAAAAAUAUAAUCUGAAGAAUCUAAAUUAUAUAUCCAAAUAAAAUUUUGACUUUAAAUCAAUCUUGGCUGCCUAAUAAAGUCAAUCUGCAUUCAUUUUUUCACAUUAGAUCCAUAACAGUAAUUACCAAUACAGCAAGAUUAUUUUCUUUGUAUUCAUAUUUUUACAAGACUAAUUCAAUCUUAUAUUCAAAAUUGUAUUAAUCAAAACAUUAAUGAUGUAUGCAUCUGGCUAAGGUCUACUACUACAAGCUCACCAAACCCCCCACAUACCAUUCCUCUUACCUAACCCCAUCUACCAUUCCGUUAAACUUAACGCCGUUAACUUCCACCUAACCUCCAAUUUUUCCCUCUAUAAAAAAUACUCAAAACACUCUUCUCCAUUGCAUUACCAAAACAUUCUUCUUUAAAUUUCCUUAGAAGAACCCCAUUUUUGUACCAAAAAAAUGGAUCUUCUCUUACUAGAGAAGACCUUAAUAGGCCUUUUCUUUGCCAUUUUAGUAGCUAUUAUUGUGUCUAAAUUGCGGAGCAAGCGUUUUAAGCUGCCCCCAGGUCCAAUUCCAGUCCCAGUUUUUGGUAACUGGCUGCAAGUUGGCGACGAUUUGAAUCAUCGUAACCUCACUGAUUACGCGAAGAAGUUUGGUGACAUUUUCUUGCUUAGAAUGGGGCAAAGAAACUUGGUCGUUGUGUCGUCCCCUGAAUCAGCUAAAGAAGUUUUGCACACCCAAGGGGUUGAAUUUGGAUCAAGAACGAGAAAUGUAGUCUUUGAUAUCUUCACUGGAAAGGGUCAAGAUAUGGUUUUUACUGUAUACGGUGAGCAUUGGAGGAAGAUGAGGAGGAUUAUGACUGUACCCUUUUUCACUAAUAAAGUGGUUCAGCAAUACAGAGGGGGUUGGGAGUCUGAGGUGGCUAGUGUUGUUGAGGAUGUGAAGAAGAAUCCUGAAUCUGCUACGAAUGGGAUUGUUUUGAGGAAGAGAUUGCAACUCAUGAUGUAUAAUAAUAUGUUCAGGAUUAUGUUUGAUAGGAGAUUUGAGAGUGAAGAUGAUCCCCUUUUCGUAAAGCUUAGAGCUUUGAAUGGUGAGAGGAGUAGAUUGGCUCAGAGUUUUGAGUACAAUUAUGGUGAUUUUAUCCCUAUUUUGAGGCCUUUCUUGAGGGGCUACUUGAAGAUUUGCAAGGAAGUUAAGGAGAAGAGGUUGCAGCUGUUCAAGGAUUACUUUGUUGAUGAAAGAAAGUAAGUUUUGUUCACUUUAUUUUAUUUAUAUUCAAUUUGUUGUUUUCCUCAGUUUUAUUGUCUUAAGAUAAAUGUGUAGGAUAUAGGAUGAAUCUAAAGAACCAAUCUUUAUUUAGUUUCUUUCAUAAAGUAGGUCUAUUGGUGAUAAUGAUCUUUAGGAUGUGGGGAUCACAUAACACACUGUUGAUCUUGAUCUUUUUGGUCUAUUCAAUGGGUAUCUUUUCCCAAACAGCCACCCCAAGAGAACAUUUACCUUGCCAUAAGGCACCUUGUCUUCUAGCCAAUUGAGGAUUUUGACUAAUUCCCCCUCUGGAUUUCCAGAACUUUUGACUUUGUCACUCUAAAGUUUUGGCAAGCAGAUCAUUCAAUAGCAUCAACUAUUUAGGGGAUUUUGUUGCAAGUCCUGCUCAAUGAAGGUUGGUGUGAUUGGAGUGCUUUGAGGUACCAUUAGUUUGUAACAUUUUUAUUGGCUUUGUGCAGGAAGCUUGCAAACACCAAGAGCAUGGACAGCAAUGCUCUAAAAUGUGCCAUUGAUCACAUUCUUGAUGCUCAACAGAAGGGAGAGAUCAACGAGGAUAACGUUCUCUACAUUGUCGAGAACAUCAAUGUUGCUGGUAUGUUUCAAAAUAACCUAUCUUUAGUUCUCUUGAGUACAACUUGUUCUAGUUUGGUUUAGUAUGUGCAUGCAUUUCCUAGUGAAAGGUUGAAAAGAAUUUCUAACAGUACUUGGUUUGGUAUUCUUACGAGUUCCUUUUGGAGGAGAAUAACAGCAUUCAUAAGGCUGAAUGGUUUGUUUAACUGAAAGUGAGUGAGCUUUACCUAAAAACAUAAUGAUAAACCAAGAAUGACAGUGACAUCUCCACCUAUUACCAAGUUUAAGGAACUUUUUAUCAGUUGUCCCAUGAUUUUUAAUCAUUCUAGUUAGGUACACGUCUGGUUAGCUAGUUAGUGAGGCAAUCGCUUAUCAAAGCGAUGAUUAGUAGUUGGUCCAAGCGGAUGAUGAUUAGUAGUUGGUCCAAGCGGAUGAUCAACUACAUUGGGAUUGAGACCCGACCCACACUCCUAUGAGGGGCGGCAGUUGGGAAUUUUCCGGGAUGGGCAAAAGCCGGUAGUUGAGAAUUUCCAUAUGAGGGCCCCAAGAACAAUUGUUUUUAUGAUCAAGAUGGGCUUUCUAAUGAGUCAACAGUUAGAUAUGGUUGGUGUACUUACCAAUUUCUUGCUAAGGUUAGGUAGAGCAGGGUUGGUGCGCACAUUUUAAGGCUUCUAACUGUCCAUAGGUAAUAACUUAUACCAACUCAUGCUAAUUAUAAUCAUGAUAGUGGAUCAAUGUACUAAAAGUUCUUUAGUAUCAUUAUUUUGUCUACAAACAAAAACAGUGAGUUUUUUUGUUUUUUUUUUUGAGAAUAAGCUGUUAUGGUAACAUUCAAGUAGGACCUGAAAUGAGUAAUAAAGUGAACCUUAUGAUAUAAGUGAUAGUGAUGUUUUUAUGCUAACAAGACUAGCUAGAUACCACAAAUCUGAUACUAUAAGACUGAAAAGGUCCCAAAUAAAGAUGGACUAGUUAGUUCUAUGAGUUUACUGCACUCAUUGCUUUUGGUUCGAACUGUGCAUGCACAUGAACGAAGAAUUUAUUAUACAUAACAAAAUCAUACUCAUUUUGAACUCACCAAUGUUAGAUCUUGGAAUUGUGUCUGGUCCUAAAUCAGUUUCUUCGCAUUGUCUUGUACUGAGCAAUAAGUGAGCAUUGAUGAGGUCAAACUCAAAGGGUCCGAGCGUCCUACCAUUGUUCUAAAACUAGCAUUUAGAACCACUUGUGUAUCAUUGCAUUGUUCAUAAACUUCUUGGCUAGUUGAUUAUUCAACUGAUAUGCAUAAUUCUUGUCCAUGAGCAGCAAUUGAAACAACAUUGUGGUCAAUUGAAUGGGGUAUCGCGGAGCUAGUCAACCACCCUCACAUCCAACAGAAACUCCGUGAAGAGAUCGACGCAGUUCUUGGACCAGGAGUGCAAGUGACUGAGCCAGACACCCAAAAGCUUCCGUACCUUCAGGCUGUGAUCAAGGAGACUCUUAGACUCCGGAUGGCAAUUCCUCUUUUAGUCCCACACAUGAACCUUCAUGAUGCAAAGCUUGCUGGAUAUGAUAUUCCAGCAGAGAGCAAAAUCUUGGUUAACGCUUGGUGGUUGGCUAACAACCCCGCUCACUGGAAGAAACCGGAAGAGUUCAGGCCCGAGAGGUUCUUGGAAGAGGAGAAGCACGUCGAUGCCAAUGGCAAUGACUUCAGAUUCCUUCCAUUCGGUGUUGGUAGGAGGAGUUGCCCCGGAAUUAUCCUAGCGCUGCCAAUUCUCGGCAUCACUUUGGGACGUUUGGUGCAGAAUUUUGAGCUAUUGCCACCUCCGGGGCAGUCAAAGCUCGACACCACGGAGAAAGGUGGACAGUUCAGUCUCCACAUUUUGAAGCAUUCCACCAUUGUGAUGAAACCAAGAUCUUUCUGAACUGUGUAAUACUAUCUAUCAGUUAAGGGGCUCUGGAGAAAGUUGAUAUGUAUGGUUGUUAUUUUGAUUGAAAACUUUUUAAGUUUUAUAGAAAUCAUUCUUCUUCUUGACUAAGAUUUGCCUUUAUCUGAAAAUGUUCUCUUGAGUCUUGAUGUACAACGGUAACUCAGCUUUCUGAUCAACCUAAAAAGAAACUUUUGAUCAAUGAUCUUAGUAAAUAAGAAUUAGACCAUAAUAACCAUGGUACAAAUGAAGUUGGAUCUCUUCCCAUAAGAGAUUGUAUAGCCUAUGUUGACUCAUCAUUUUGAUGAGCCUUAUACAAUUAGUACAAUCCAUCAUUAUGUGGGCUAUGGACCGUUUCAAAUUUACAAACACAAUGAUCCUAAUAAUAUUUGGCCUACGAGUCUCUUGGGUCAUAAGAGGUCUUCGGCUUCAAAAAUCCUAAUUCAACCUUAUCACAUCACGAGUUGAGCUGGGCUGUGCCAACGUGUCUAACCUAUAUUCAUGACUCUACUAAUUGUGCCUAAUUAUAUUAAUUAAUUCAUUAUUUGUCAGACAAUAAAUUGAAAUAAAAAUAUGUUACUUAACCAUGAUUAAACUUAAAUUUUAUAUAGAAUACAUAUGUCAUGCAUUUUAUGACUCGAUGUAACUCCGAAUACUUGUUAACAGUUGGUGUCCAAAAGGAAAGACAAAGUAGUAGGUUGAACCAAGUGGGUAUUGUUUUCACUUAAUUCACCAUUUGAAUUCCUUUAAAAAAAAUCUGUUUAAUUUGUCUUAAUUUAUUCUUUCACCUAACCUAGUUAGGUAGUUGCCCCAUAUUUUAAAUGACAUUACAAAAUUCAAAUUGUAUAGUUAGGUACGUUGUUAGGAACGGGGUACUUUUCUAUGUCAUGGCCAAGAACACUUUCUUAAUCAAUCCCAAUUACUCUCUCCAAGUCCAACCUUUCAUUUUGGAUAAUGUUAUUUCUUUGUUGGUUUGAACCAGAAAAAACGCAUUUAUAUAUUUGUUUAAAAAAUAACUUUCUUCCAAGAAUAUUUUUCUUUUUUGAAUUUUAUCAAUAUGUGCCCUUUGAUUUAGGUAAAAACUUAUUCACACACGAUAUUUAUAUCAGUAGUAGAGUCUAAUCAACUUUGACCCCUUGUCAUUACGACUUUUGGCAAAAACAAUUGACCCUUCCACCUCGAGGAAAAAUGGUGACAAUUUAAAAGAGUUAGUAACUUUUUCAGACAAAAAUAAAUUGUAGAAUUUUCUUAACACAAGGAAUGUGUAGCUAUGGAUUUGAUUCGUCAUGAUAAAGUAUAAAAUCAAUUGCUACAAAUUUCAUGUUAUAGCUAUAUAUAUAUCACAAACAUUAGUAGCAAUGAACACAUAAAGUUUGUUGCAAAAAACUUUUAGCUACGUAAUUUUUUUCAUUUUUUUUCAAAUGGCAAACACCUCCAUGUUGGGUGUUCUUUCAAAGCUACGUCAUAUCUUGCUUAUGAUAUGCUAUGGAAAAUUUUGUUGGGGCUGGAGUGUUUAAUCAUGAAAAUUUCUAUAUUUUGUUACAAUAGAUUUUGUAAUAGUAAUAUGUAUAUUGUUGAUGUCCUUUCAAAGGAGGAAGUGGUCCUUACCGGUCAAGGAGUCUUAGAUAUAGAGAUUAUAAUAGCGUGAGUUGUAGCAAGAUGAUUUAGACCAUUUCAUUCUUAAUCAGUAGUUUUGGAUUUAAAUUUUUGAAAAUGAAAAAAAAAAUAUUAAAAAUACUGCCCUAAAAUAUAAAUCAUGCAAUAAAAAAAUCUGAAUUUGAUCGGUCCCAAUUAAAAUAGAAUAAAAAAUCAAAAAACGAAGGCUAUAGAGAUAGCAAUAGCAUGCAAAGAAAAAGCUAAGGUACGUAUAAGAAAUGCUUCAUCUUCCAACGGUAAAGUUAGGUAUUGUCAGCCUAAUUUUUACUUGUCUAAUAUUAUUAAUUUUAUACACCAUUUAAAGAAUAAUUGAUAAGUAUUAUAUAAUUUUUUAAAUAUAAUAGAUUUAAUAUUUUAGAAAUAAUUAUAAUCAAUAAUAAUGGUAAAUUACAACAAAGUGAUAAUUUAUUUCUUGAUUUUUUAAAUUGAACGGAUAAAAGUUAAUAUCUAUUUUUAAUAUAAUAAAAGAAUUAUUGAGUAGUGAUUAUUAUUUAAGUGGAAAAAGGAUAAACAGGUGGGUGAUGGAGGUGACACGCUGACAUAUAGGUAUUCCGAAAAAUUUAUUCAGGUGCGAGAAAAUUAGUCCAAGCUUCAAUUAUUAAAAAAUAAAGAUAAAAUAAGUAGUGAAAGGUGGCAAGUCCCAUAAAAUUAAUUGAGAUGUAUGAAAUUUAGCCUACGAUUAUAAAAGUAAAAAUAAAAAAAAGAAGCGAUAACUUAGUAACUUCGAUAUAGACUAAAAAUUCGAUAACUUUUUUUAAAAAAAAUUUAAAAUUUAUAAGCUUGAAAUUCUUACUUUUUUUUUUAAAUUCUUCGAGCUGAUUUGAGUUGAGUUUGUGAUAGUGGCGAAUGUAGCAUAUAUCUAGGAGGUUCAUCCGAAUUCCUUUUGAUAAAAAAUUACAUUAUUUAUACACAGUUAAAAUUAUUUUUUAUGUAUAUAUAAUAUAUGUUGAACCCUCUUCAACUAGUUUGUAUGUACACUUCCAAACUCUCUUAAUAAAUAUCUCGAUUCCGCCACUGAUUUGUGAAAGCUUCUAGGAAAUUUGUUUAGUACUUAGUAUUAAUUUAAUGGAGCAGAAAAUAAUAGAUGUCGUUUGUGUGUUUAAAUUAGUGAGAGAGGGGUCACAUGUUAAGGAACCAGAUGGAGUGGCAACAAUAAUUGAUUUCGAGAUGUACAAAUAUGUGCACACCCCAUGUAGUUCUGUCCCCAACCCCCCACCCUCUUUGUCCCCUCAAUUCACUUGCUCCUCCGGAUUCGAUUCGUUUGGUUCGAAAAUAAAUUAUUAUGAGAUUAGAUAUGUUUGAUUUAUUAGUUAUUUUUAAAUAAUAUUAUAAUAAUUAAUUUUGUAAUUAUUAUUUAAAUUAAAUAUUAGAUAAUAUUCAUCAUAAAAUUAAUUUCAUAAUUAAUUAAUUCUUAUUUCUCGUACCAAACGAGUGCUUAAGGUAUAACUUUAUGAAAAUUCAGUGAUUUUAAUCUAUAUCUUAUAUUUUUAUCAAGAAAUUCAUAAAUAUUUAUUUUUGAAUUUAAUACUAUUUUCUUAGUUUAAACUUAUUAUCAUAUUUUAUUGUUUAUAACUAUUUUAAUUUGAGAGUCUUUUCGAUAAUAUUUUUUCUAUCUUCAUGUAAUAGAAGUAAAAUUUAUGUCCGUUUUACACUUUUUAAAUCUCAUUGAUAAAUUAUAUCGAGAUUAUUAUUAUUAUUAUUAUAACUUAAAUACUAUACAAACUUAUAAACUUUAUUAACUAUAAAUAGUAACAUUCCUCUAUCCCCUUCAUUUCGGCUAUAUUGUUGUUUUGUCUCUCUUUUUUCCAUGGUGAGCCCAAGGCCCCCAAGACAUACAUAUAAAUCAACUUUUAUGAAGAUUGACAAAAAAUUUCAUGUUCCAUUUUCCCAUGUAAAACUCCAAACUUUGUAUGUUUUCGUCCAUUUCAAAGUCUAUUUAUAAGCAGUACCAGCUAGCUUGUCUACCCUAUGUACUAUAGUAAAAUAAUCAUAUUCUCUUGAAAAGCAUUCAUAAUUUAUUAUUUGAAGGAUAUUUGUGAGAAACAAAGUUUGGCUAAAAAUUAGCAAAUAUUAUAGAACUUGAAAAUGAUCUAAAAUAUAUAAUAUGAGAUCAGGAAAGAAGCAAAACUUUUGAAAUUUAUUAACCAAAUAGAGAAAAAAAAAUACAAAGAGAAAAUUAUGAUUCAAGCCACGAUUAAAUAAAAUAUGAGAAAGACCUAAUAAGUGCCUCCCUUUUGUUAAAAAUCGCUCCAAAAAUGACUAAAUUCACCAAAGUGCAGUAGGAUUUUUUAUUUUUAUUUUUUUUGAUUUUUUUUUUGUAAAAAGAAUAUACUAAAUACUUCUGCUAGUAGAGAGAUAAAAGUAAAUUCCCAUCCAAAAAGUUCAUAUGACAGACCAGCAUAGACCCAAGUGGCAAUAUAGAAACGUGUAAAAAAGAAAGCAACUUUAUCAGCCAUGUGACGAACCAAUUACAAAGCACCAAGUGGCAAAGAAGAAAUAUUCAGCAAAAAAGUAACUUUAUUAGCUAUAUUCAGCAACUUUAGACAUAAAAAAAUAAAAUUCCCCUAUUGUGAGGACGACUUUAAUUCUCUCUGCUCUUAUAUAUAUAUAUAUACUAGUAAUAGUAAUGUACAUCACGGCAUCUACUUCACAAUCUUCCAAGAAAAAAUCUUUUUGUGAUGAAUACUAGCACUCAUUUUCCAAGUGAUCAUAGAUCAUCUGAUAGAUUUGAAUUUUGUCAUCGUUUUGCUUUGAAUAAUAAUCUUGGCAUUGCAAGUGAUCAGUUUAGUCGUCGUGGCGGCGGAGUUGGAGGAGGAGGAGUCAAUGAUGUUUUCUGCUUUCCAAGAAGCAUGCCGCCAUCAGAUGAAGAACUUGUUAUUGGUAGUGGCAGUGAUCGGACAGUAGUCGAAGGCGAUUACUUUGAUGGAGUUUUUAAGUAUAUACAACAGAUGCUUAUGGAAGAUCAAGAUGAUUUGGAGAACAGGCCUUGUAUGUUUCCAGAUUGUAUUGCUCUUCAGGCUGCUGAGAAGUCUUUUUAUGAUGUCCUCAAUCCUCCUCCAGUUCAUCGCGAUAGUCCUCAUUUUCAAGAUGAUGCUUAUCGCGAUGCUGUGAAUCAAUUUGUUGAGUCUACUUCCAAUGCUGAUCUAGAUGGUGACCAGUGUUCACUUUUAUAUGCUUCUGGUUUAAACAAUUAUCAUCAAGCUGGUGCUGCCAAUAGCGGUUAUGUGAACUCAGCGGAUGCAAACAAUUAUCGUCAAGCUAACGAAGCCAAUGGCGUCAACGAUCAAGGGGUGAAAUCAAACAAGAAGCACACUCGAGAAGAAAAUGGAGAUACUUCAAAAGGGGGAAAUUCGAAGCAGUUUGCGAGUAAUGGAGCAGAGGAAACAGGGGAUAAAGAAGCAGAGGAGCAUUACGAUAAGGCGCUUCUUUGUCCAGGCAUGAAUCCUUCCUUCUAUGAGAAUCGAUCGAAAACAGCAACAUCGUUGGAUAAUGCAGCAUGGGACAAGCAAAAGAGCUCUCAUAUAAAGUUGUCUAAACGCGGUAGGCCUCGCGGCACCAAAAACGGCAUGAAGAAGAAUGAAGUAGUAGAUCUCACUAGUCUCCUAACACGUUGCGCGGAGGCUGCAGCCACCUACAACAGCAAGACAUUCAUUCAAGUUCUCGAUAAAAUUAAGCAGCACUCUUCACCCUUUGGAGAUGCUACUGCAAGAUUGGCGUAUUACUUCGCCAAUGCCCUUGAAGCUCGUUUUGCUGGUGGAGAUGCAACGUUGGCCACAAGCAAGAGAAUAUCAGCUGCGGAGUUCUUAAAAGCUUAUCAGAUCUACAUCGCUGCCUGUCCAUUCAAGAGGAUGUCAAACAUAUUCGCUAACAAGUCCAUCGCGAAAUUAACAAGUGCAUCACCAAGGGUUCACAUAAUAGAUUUCGGGAUCCUAUAUGGAUUUCAAUGGCCUUGUAUAAUACACGGGAUUUCCCUUAGGCCCGGGGGACCUCCAAGGCUUCGGAUCACAGGAAUUGAUUUCCCUCAGCCAGGUUUUCGACCAGCUGAGAGAGUCGAGGAGACAGGACGACACUUGGAGGAAUAUUGCAAGAGGUUUAAUGUUCCCUUUGAGUAUAAAGCACUAGCAAAGAAAUGGGAUGAGAUUAAACUCGAAGAUCUAGAUAUCGACAGAGAUGAGACACUGGUGGUCAAUUGUUUGUACAGGCUAAAGAAUGUCCACGACGAAACGGUAGUAACUCAUGGCAACAAAAAUCCCAGAGAAGCUGUCCUUAACUUGAUCAAGGAAAUAAAUCCCCAUUACUUUGUCCAUGGGAUCGUUAACGCCAUGUACAAUGCCUCUUUCUUCACAACAAGAUUCCGCGAGGCCUUAUUCCAUUUCUCGUCACAGUUUGACAUGUUUGAAGCCACCAUGCCACGAGAAGAUGAAGGAAGGAUGACGUUUGAGCAGGAAGUGUUCGGAAGAGACAUCAUGAACGUCAUAGCUUGUGAAGGGACGGAGAGAGUUGAGAGGCCGGAAAGUUACAAGCAAUGGUCAGUGAGGAAUCAGAUAGCGGGGUUCAGACAACUUCCAUUGGAUCAAGACAUCGUCAAGGAAGUAAAGACCAAGGUGAAAAUGUUUUAUCAUGCCGAUUUUCUGGUAGACGAAGAUAGCAACUGGAUGUUACAGGGCUGGAAAGGAAGAAUCAUGUAUGCACUCUCAGUUUGGGAGCCUGUACAUAAAUAAAAUAUUGUAGAGAGUUUCGUGACAGACAAAUCUUGCGUUGAUUUAUCAAGAACUUGUAAGAACAUAAAUCAAUGGAAAUAAGUUGAGAUCCAAAAUUCGACAAAUGCAUCAUCGUCAAGUAUCUCUUUUGAUUUCCCAUGUAGCAAUAGCAUCAUACAAACUGAAACUGAUGAAAUGCAAACUUAAUGUGAUAUAAAUUAUAGUAUUACAAAAUAAGCAUCGUCAGGCAUAUUUAAAAAUCAAAACACAUCAAACGGCGGAGAAAAAGGGGAUAAACUUACAUUAAAACAUAAACAAUAUGCCCAUGCACCAUCAUUUUCUAGUUACGAGGAUAGAUUUGAAACAGUGAAUAUACUAACAUGUAAGUCACAUAACAAUAUAUAGUGUCACGUAAACUGAAAUCGCAAGGAUCAAUAUAUAUUUAUAAAGGAGAAUUUUAGUCAAUCCUAUGUGACAUGCCUUAGAGUCCUUCAAACCUAUUUAUUCUUUUUUGUGGGUUUUUUGGCCAUUUUUAAAUUCUAAAAGAUUAAAAAUCUAUUAUUGUAAUUAAUUGAAUUGGCAAAAGCCUCACCCGGCGUUGCAUUGAUAGUCACUUUUAAUACCAAUUGAAACAUGUACCAAAGAAUCAAGAGUCACCUCAUUAACUCCACCACAAUUACACCUCUUCAAAUUUACUUUCAUAUAUAUAUUGAUUCACUUUAUGUACUGAAUAAAAUAAUCAAUAUUUUACACUCAUCAUAUUGAAUAACAUUUGUCAUCACGAGUUUAAAUAUUUCUCCAUAUAGAUUCCCCAACAAUUUUUUCUACUAAUUAAUUUCCUAACAGUUCCUUCAUUUGAGUAAAUUCUAAUUACAAUAUAAUAUUUAAUGUGCAUUGAUCCCUCACAAUUAUACUUAUGUAUAUUUUUUGAGAAUUAUCUUUGUGCAUGUCCCUCAAUGUUGAUUGAAUAUUUGUAUUAAGGAAAGAAAUAUUUACUUAUUUUGGUGGAAACUCCAUAAAAUCUCACGAAACUUAUAAAGUUUCUCUUCAUUCUACUAAUGAUAAAAUUUCGUACUCAUUCAUCCGCAUACUUUUUGUUAUUUUUAGGAAUAGGUUAUUGAAAAUGAAGAGUUGAAAUUGUUCGUCCCAUCAUAUAAUGAGGUAGUUUUUCUUGCGGUAAUAAUUUUAGGUAUACUUAUUAAGUCGUACUUUUUAAGUCAAAGUCAAUGAUACAAGUGUUUUUUUUCAGUAAAUCAGGUAUUUAAUGUUCUUAUGCAUGCAAUGGAUUUAUAUUAUUUCUUUGUCUCAAAAUACUUAUUACGUAUCACUUCUCGAGAAUCCAACUAUGUGAACUGAGAUUAGUAUUUUAAUAUUUUAGAUUACUUUUUUUUAUCAUAUUAUAUACGAGAUGCUUCUCAGUUAAUAUAUUCAAUUCUUUAAACCCAAGCAGCGAAGCAUUUUGGUAAACUCUCCUCACAAAAGUUGGUAAUUGUGUGUUAUCCGUAUUAGCAGGUAUCUUCUUCAACUUCGAUUUUGUAGUUAUUUGGUAUCCUAAUUAGCAGGUAUGUUCUUCACAAAAAUUGAUGCUUCUCACAAAAGUUGGUAAUUGUGUUAUUCUAGCCUUUUCAUUUGAUUCCUUUUUCGACUUUGUGGUGUAUUUGAAUAUGUAUUGAAAAGUUAUUCGCCAGUGACUUUUAUGAUUUUGAUAUGGCAGUAGCCAGCAAGGAUAGAGAAAGAAAAGUUAGAAGAUUGACAGAGUUUGAAUUUUUAUAGACGCUAUAUUGUUUAAUUUAAGAUUUGAGUUUCUUUUAGACAAAUGAUAAAGUCUUUCGAUCUUUCUUUUUGCUACAAUAAGGUGUUUCUUAAAAUAUUCAGUACACAAGUUAAUUGGACAAGAUACUCCUAAAAGGAAGUAAGAGUUGAAGUGAAGAAGUAUAUGUUUCUAUGAUUACUUCAUUAGAUUUUUCUUCUUUCCUAAUAGUUUGAUUCUUCCAGUUUUAGUUGUAAAUCUGUACAGCUAUUCCCGAUUUUUUUUGGUAAUUAGUUGUACCUAGAGAUUGUUGAAUUUCAAAUAGUUUAUUCUUAUCAUUACUUUGUGUUUUGAAUACAAUAUUCUCUUGCUUUAUUUAAAAAAAAAAAAUGCAAUAAGAUGAGGUCCAAACUUAUCAAUUGUUUUCAAAAUUAUAAGGUGAAAUUAUGAUUGGUAAAACUUAUCUUAACUAUAUGAAAAUUGUACAACGAGUAUGCUAAAUAGCGAGAAUGAAUUUUUUUUGUUACUAUCAUUCUUUCACGAGAUUUUUUUAUUAAUUUUUUUACAAUAUAUGAAAAUGUAUCAUUAAUUGAGUAUUAUUGCUCUUCUAAAUUUCAAUAUGUAUGUGUGUGUGUUACCAAACUUGGGCAUGUCAAAGACUUUUUUGAUUAGUUAAACUUUGUAUUCUUAAAGUUAAGAUGAUAUAAAUUUGUGUUGAAUUUUAGUUUCAACGUUUAAAAAGUAUAUUGAUAUUUUAUCAAAUUUUAAUAAGUACUUUAGAAGUUAUAUAUUCUUACGUUUCAAUAUUAUCUUUAUUAAUAAUCCAAUUCUAUUUCCACAUAUCAAGAAAGUUUUGUAUAUUCUAAAUCUCCAAUUAGACUAUCAGUUUUUUCUUUUAAAAUUUAAUGUAGUUUCUAAAAGGAUAGUUUCGACUCGAGGUUGGUAGUUUAAUCUCGAAUUAAGUUUGGGAUUGAGUUGGGCAAGGGAAUUGAGUUGGGAUAUGAAGUUAUGUUGGGAGUUCAAUUUUUUUUGUAUCGAAGUCGAGUUAAACAUAAUAGCAUUUGUCCAAAUCAAACCUAAAAAAAGAGGGUGAAUUUUAGGAAGGUAAAAAAAGAAUAAUUAAAUUUGAGACCGUUAUAAUUGAAGAAUAAAUUAAUUAAUGAGUAAAAUUUUAAUUCUAAAUAAUAAAAAAUAUCGAGACUAUUUAGUUAUAUUUUAAUUUGUUUAAACAAUCGUGCAAAGUGCGAACAUAUUCACUGGUUAAUAGUAAUACACUAGCUUCAGGAAUAGAGGCUGUUACAGUAGGUUAAAAAUGUUGAAAGAAUUUAGUCUGUUACAAUAUUUGUUUCCUUUUCUAGUGAGAACUAAGGAAGGAAUUUUGGCAAAAUUACAUUUUUAUCCUAUUAUAACAAUUAAGCUCUCUUAUUUCCUAGCUUAAUUAUAAGUAUAUUUGUUUAUGGACUUGUGGACUUUCACAAUUAGACCUUCAAAACAGCCCCAACAAGCUACUCUCAGCUAAAAAAAUAUUAUGAUAAAGAAACCAAGUAGUCCAUAAUAUGCAUGGUGAUGAAAUACCGAGGAUUGUGAUGGGAUGAAUACGAUCCGUACACACUUAACAAAGGUAUCAAGUCCGACCUCUGUGAAUGAAAACACCUUGGUAGGGAGUGCUUUUUUCUCUUUUGAGUUUUACUACUGAGCAAAUACGGAUUGAUCGAGGUCUCAAAACGAGUAUCGAGCUAGCACCAUGUAAUUAUGAAGAACCUUAAAGAGCAAAAGAUAAAAGACCAAUGUUGGAUGCAGUUACCAUUUUAUCAACAUUAUCAGCCAAGAACAAUGAGUGAUUCGCAAAUUGGAUUCUUCUUAUGAAUGAGAACUUCUUAGUAUAUAUAAAUUACUUAUAAGAUACAUAUAUAUAUAUAAAAAAAAUAGAAAAUAAUGUACUAAAAAAUGAAAAAAGUUGUUCAGUAAUAUGGCCAUUUGCCAUUGUAUGGGCCCAUCUUUUAUGAGCCCAUGAGCAAACCCAAAUCACUCUUUAGGGCCCAUUCUUGGAACUUCUCUAUUUUUGGUGUCAAUUCUGUUUUUUCAUUUUCAGCUUUCUGUAAUAUCUUCUUUAUCAUAUUCAGUCAGAAGAAAUUAGGUAAUACUUUCACAGUGACUUUCAACGAGAAUAUCCAAAUUAUUCAAGAAGAAUUGCAGCAAUUCCUAAUAAAACUACGAUUAAUUCACCUUAUACUGCAUUUUUCUAAAUUAUUACUAUUUGUUUACUAACUGUUUGUACAUACAAUGCACGUUAACUUAUAAAUCACUAUUCUAUCUACAUAAAUAAUGUUGAGAUAUAAGAUUAUAAUUUUUAUAUUCGUUCUUGUUUUCUUUUGAAUGUUCAAUCUGAUACUUAUAAACAAAACACAAGUUAUUUAUUUAUUUUUUCCUAAACCAACUGUCAUGGUCUAGUUGGCCAACGAUACCUAUCGUAAACACCUUGCGAUCAACGAAACAUAUUACUAUUAUUUACUAUAAUAUGAGAAUGUCCGACAGCUUUUGUUUCUUUUUUAUCUAAAAUUAUAUUAUAUUAACAUUAAAAAAAUUAGGUGUAUUACACAAAAAUACCAUAUUCAAUGUAAUUUUCAAAGUGAAAUUUAAAAAGAGUGGUGUAUACGUAACUUAUUCCUAUAUACCUAGUGAAAAUAUAGUGGUUCCACUAGAGUAAUAUUAUUGUUCUAUGGUUUCAGAUGAUUGUAUUUAUGUGUACCAAAAUCAUGUUCAAGUAGUUGUCCUAACCUAACACCUGUUGGAGAAUAUUUCACAAUGGGAUGGAUAUUGAAUUAAGUAAAUUACAAAGCAUCUGAAUUAUAAAAGUUGUCUAGAAUUAUGAAAAUUAGUAAUGCAUGCAAUGCACAUGCAUGACUUAGGCAUGCUAUUCAGUUGUCUUUUUCCCUAAAGACAUUAUUUUGCCAAAUCUGUAACCAAUAAACCAUACACAUGCAAAUAAAACAAAAACAAUACUACAUAAUAAUUCAUGCAUUGGAAUAAGAGGGGAAAAUAUUCAGCCUCAUAAUUGGAUUUUACUGAAAAAACAACCACAUUCAAUUUCCUAUGGGGAGGGAGUAGUAGAUCUAUAUUGUCCUUUAGCAAUAAGCAACAAUAAUAUAAUGGGGUGGAGCCAAAUAUUAGUCACAACCAAAAUAGAGAAAGGAAGGUGCACAUCAUUUAUGAUAUACGGACAUCAUCAGUGGCAGAGUCAGAAUUUUCACUAAAAAGAUUAAUAAGUGAACAUAUGAAUUAAUUGAAGGAGUCGAAAUUCAACAUCUACUAUAUAUAUAAAAAUAAUAAUUUUAAUCAUAUAUAUACAAUAUAAUUUUUCGUCGAAGGAGAAUCCCUAACCCAAAGAUUGUUCCGCCCCUGACAAACACAUAUUACAUAUUUGUUCAUAAGUUAAUUUGAGUUAUAUAUCUAAUCUGAAUAUCCGUCUAACUUUUAUAUCAUAAAUUGAAUCCGACGAAUCAAAACGAAUUAAGUUAAUAAUAUGUGAAAUGUAUUAAGCUGAUAAUAUGCGAUUUAAUAAUUUAAGUGGAUUAAACGAGUCGUAUUUUUAUAGGCUAAUUUUAUGAUUUCAAAUUUUUACCAAUUUUAGUAGAACCUAUGGAAGGUAGACAUGAGAAAAGUGUCAUAGCCGGCAAUAUAAUAAAAUACAACAAAUAGUGACGUGUCAUUCUCUUAAAUUUUUUUUUUGGAAUUUGGUCAGUAGUAUCGUGCGUACCAUGAUAAACUAAUCCUAUAUUAUAAGUAGUAAAUGUUAUAUCAAACAUAGAAAUUAACGAUGCAUGUAUACCUAUUACCUACUAUUAAUAUUUUUACAAAUUCCAUGCACCUAUCACAAAGAUGUGAUAAUGAGCAAGAAAAUUUUAAUCGAGAUCUUUAUCUAUCAAAUGUUACAACUUUUCACAUACUCUGUGUUUUUCUUAUAUAGUGGAUAAUAAUGUGAUCCUAUCUACGUAUUACCAACGACAACAUCAAGACAAACAAAAGGUAUAAAUCAUAUGUGCCCAUUUAGAUGCACGUAUCAAUCAUAUUUUUUGUUAUAAAUAACUAUAAGGUAUUUUUAUUACUAUUAGUAAUUAUUGUUUCUUUAUAGGUGUACAUUUAUUUAUUCUAAGAAAGAUAUAUGUUGAUCGAAUUACUGCACAACUUCUACAAAAUAAUACUUCACUACUUUUCUUUCAUAUUAGCUUUUUGAUAUCAAGGUUGGCUUCAGCAUGAAGCCACUGAAGCCUAGGCUUUAGGCCCCAAGAAAUUGGAGGGCUCAUUUUUGUAAUUAUAGGUUUGUAGUUUUGUAAUUUUUUCUGAGAACUUUUAAAUUUUUUCCGUCUCAUUCUACUGUUGUUUUAUCUCAAAAAAGUUAUCACUUUAAGAUUCAAGACUAAAUUGACAAUUGUUUCCAACUUCACCUUUAACAUAAAGAAGAUUUCUUUUUAAUGUUGCUCAAUAAAAAAAAAAAAAAAACAUUAAUAAAUAAGAGUAACUUAAUAAACUAUACCUUGUAUUUUAUUAUUUUGCUUAAUGAAUGUGAAAAGAAUUAAAAUAAAUGUUAAAGUGUGAUGAGAGGAGUAGAAAGGUAAGAAAUAUUUUAAUAAGAUAAAUUUUUUUAUUAAGUUUCAAAUGCAUAUAUUGCCUAUAGAGUUCCUAUAACGAUCCUUAGCCAAAAGAAAAUUUUAAAAUUAAAUUUGAUAAAAUUCUACAUAAAAUCAACUAUGUCUAAAGAGAAAUUGAAUAAAUUAGGUAUAUUAUCAAUUGAAAAAAAAAUAUUUCGAGGAGAUCAUUAUAAAAUAAUUUUAAGCAUAAUUUUGCAUCUCAAGAACUUCUAAUUAAUUCAUGAAAAAUAAAUAAAGGCCUCAUUUUGAAAUUUUGUACCUGUUUGAUAUGUAUACGUAAGAGGAGGGAACUCAAAUUUCUUGAAGAGAAGAAAAAUCUUUUAGAUAUAAAGAAUUUAUAAUCCUAAUUAAUUCACAUGUAAACUAUGUUAUUGAAACAUAAAAGAACGAGAAAUCCAUCAAGUUAUUAAAGUCAUUACAACAUUCAACUUUGAUAUUGCUCAGGUUGUACCAAAAUUACAGGUUACAACUGAAAAUAGUGGUGGUUAAAUGUAGAAAGCUUGAACAAGGACGGUAUAAGUGCAACUCUGAUGGCACCUUCUAAAGACAGUCUUGGGGCAAGUUUAGAUGCCUAUUGCAUAAGAAAUGAGGAGAGGUCCAAAAACAGUGACUCAGUCAAAAAAAAAAAUCUUAAAAUAAAACAUCAAUUGAUAAAUAUCGAAAUUUCUUCUUUGUCAUCUUCGCCUCCUAAAAAAAAAUAUUGUUUGAGCCACCAUAUUAGUUUUAAGAUCACUAGCUCGCGGUUUGCUUCUUUAUCACUUCCUUAACUUUUAUUUUUUGAUUCAUUGGUUUGAAGAUAAUUUAUGAUUUUUUUUUCACUAAGUUUUUUCUCUCGAAGAAUCUGUCUCCAGAUUUCAUUCAUUACUACUGAAUAGAUCUUUUAUGUUUUUCUUACCCAAGCAAAUCCACCUUUUUAACAUGCUUCUCAAUUCUGCCUUUUAAUUUGUGAUAACACUUGCUAAUCGAUCUAAAAAAUCAUCUUUAUUCAUUGUUGCAUCAUUGCCACUAUGCUUAAUGUAUUGUGUUGGUGAUUACUUGUGACUGGUUUUGUGCUGAAUAUGAUUUCGGCAACUUGUGAUUUCUCUAAAUUAAUUAGAGCUUUUUCAUUUUUGGAUAAGAAAUCUAAAAAAAAUUGUGCUCAUUAUAUAAAGUCCACAUGUCAUUUUGAAAAGUUUGGAUUCAUCGAUAUAAGAUACACGUGCAGAGUACGUGUCCAAAAAUAAGUAUUGAAAAACAUAGAAAUAGCCAACAGAAUAACAAUAAUAGUAUUGAAGAAGAAUAUUGAAUGUACGUGAAGAUAUCAAGGACUUGUUAGUUAAAUAAGUUUUUUCGAGCUACUUUUAAGGUUUCAUUGGUCAUUUUAAAUUAAUAGAAAUUUAAAACAAACAAAGGUUUGACCAAGCCUAAAAAAAGUAGUCGAUCCAAACCAAUUAAAAGCCCAAAUAUAGAUAGAUAAAAGUAACAAAAAAUAUUUAAAAUUCCUUCAAAAGUUUCUCAUUUUGUCUAUUUUCUUUUGAGAGAUUAGGAAACCCUUUGUCUUUCUCUAUGAGCUAGUCGGCGUCGGGGGUUAUCAUCUUCUUUUCUAGAUGUUGUGACGGGCAUCUAGCCAUAUUCUCUGAUAAAUAUCAAGGUGACUUCUACCCUCUAACUCCACCACUCGUCCUUUGUGAUAUAACGGUUAUCUCCUCAAAUGUGGAUAUUUCUUUUAUCUUUGAUAUUGCUCAGGCUGUAUUAGAAUUAUAGGUUACAAUUGAAAACAAUUAUGGUUAAAUAGAGAAAGCUUGAACAAGGAUGGUAUAAGUGCAACUCUUAUGGCACUUCUAAAGGCAAUUCUGGUACAAGUUCAGUUGCUUAUUGCAUGAGAAAUAAGGAGGGUGACUUUAUCUAUGCCUCGUGUAAACAAAUGCAAGAUACUAGUAUCUAUGCAUAGGCAUUGAUUAUGAUGGAGGGAUAUUUCUACUGUGUAGAGCAUCAAUUUCUGUCCCUAGCGCUUGAAACUGAUUCUUUAGCUUUGGAUAAUAUAGCGAAAGGGGAACAGAAAGUUCCUUGGCGUACAGGGGGAAUCAUAUAAUAUUAAGGAGCUGAUGGAGAUGGGACAGAUUACAGUAAAACAUAUCUACAGACAAGGAAAUUUUCUGGCAUUUUUUUAGCUAACUGGUGUUUUAGUUUUGUAGGUACAACAAAUUUAGUCAUAUUCAUGAAGUUACCAACAAAAGCAAGAGUCAUUGUAAGUCAGGAUAAACAACAAUUACCAUAGCUUAGGAUAAGCAAAAUGAGGCAGCAGACACCAAAUUAAUGCAGAAGCAGUAAAGGAAUGAAUAGAUACACUCAAGAAUAACAAAGUAAUUACACAUGGGAGACUCAAACAUACUAUAAAAUGCAGAUACAAUUCAUGUAUUACAACCACUGACAUACAAAAUACACCAUUGUCAGUAACAAAAAUUGUAAGAUUACUAGGAUAUUUAGGGUUGUUUAAACUAAUGCGAAGGUGGUAUUAAUCUCUACGAGAUUAAUCUCUUUGCAGAGAAAUAAACAAAAUUAAGUACUAAGAAACUUCAAUUUAGUGGAAAAUCAAAUCUGAAGAUUGCAUGAACUUGGAGUCCUAUUCCAUCGAAAUCGAUUACGCAAUACCUGGUGAGAGGAUUUAGGUGACUUAAAGUGCAAUCAAUCCAAAGUUACUAAGAUCUAUCUACUAGCUAGUUUAGUGAGCCAAGACUGAUUUAUUAAAAUUGAAGGGGCGUACUAUUCAAGCCAUUUCUGGAGAGGAAAGAGGUUCAUAUCACUUCUUGAUAGCUAGAUUAUGAGUAGUGGCUCCUGCAACAAGAUCAAUCAAAUAAGAUAAUUUCAGUGAAAUCUUAGCUGAGUAAGAAAGAAAGUACUUAACUUGUUGAAUAUCUUAAGAUCUAGUCACUGAAGAAGAUCAUUUAUAUCAAUAUCAGAGCUUCAAAAUCGACAAUCGAAUUGAAGUUGCGGCGGAGGAAGAUGAAACAUCGCUGGUUUUCUCGAAGCUUCAGUGUCUUGGUUUCCUAAUUCAGUUGUUUACAUUGUUCUAAUGUAGGCUCUUCGUUAUUUGGACAGAGUCACUUUUGGACCUGAUAAUAUAAACAUGCAUUGACGAUUUUUAGUUUUAAUAAAAGGGCUUUGAGCCCACUCGCAACUUAAAAAAAAUACAACAUUCAUCUUUUUAGUAACUUGCACUUAUUAAGCUUUUCUAAUCUCUUGUAAUUUUUUAAAAUAUAAAAUUGUGCUCAUUAUAUAAAGUACAGUCAUUUUAGAAAGUUUAGACUAAUUGAUAUGUGAUACACGUGCUUUCAAAAAUUAAUAUUAAAAAAUAUAACAAUAGACAACAUAGUAACAAUAAUGGCAUUGAAGAAGAAUAUUAAAUGUUGGUAAUCAAUAGUAUGUGAGGGUAUCAAGGACCUAACAGUUAAACAAGUUUUUUGGAGUUGCUUUGGGGUUUUAUAGGUCAUUUUAUUAAUUAAAUAAAAAUUAAAACAAAUAAAGGUCUAAUCAAACCUAAAAGUAGUCGAUCUUAAUCAACUAAAAGUCUAAAUAUAUAUAGAUAAAAGUAACAAAAAAUAUUUGUAACCCUCUGAAAGUUUCUCAUUUUGUCUAUUUUCAUUUGAGAGAUUAGGAAAUCGUUCGUCUCUCUUUGAGCUAGUCAACGUCAGGGUUAUCAUCUCCUUUUCUAGAUGUUGUGACGGCCAUUUAGCCAUAUUCUCCGGUAAAUAUUAAUGUGAGUUCUACCUUCUGACUCUAUUACUCUUAUUUUGUGAUAUAUCAAUUCUCUCCUCUAACAUAGAUUUAUUUUUUAUAUAUGUUAGAGAGUGAAUGCGCGCUAUAAAUUUUAAUAUUUUUUAGAAAUUAAAUUUAGGUCUAUAGAAUCAUAUUUUAUUUUUUAUCAAAGUCUUACUAUAAAAUAAAAAUCAACGGUCCAAAACAAGAAAAUCCAAAAAACUGAUUUGGUCCAAAAACAGUGACCCAGUCAAAAUAAAAUUUUAAAAUAAAAUGUCAAAUAAUAAAUAUCAAAAUUUUCAGAAGGAAUAUCCGAUACACUUCAUCUUUUUCACCUCCGCCUCCUAAAAAAUUAUUGUCUGAACCAUCAUUUUAAUUUUAAGAUUACUAGCUCGAGGUUUACUUCUUUAUCUCUUGCUUAACUUUUAUUUUUUGAUUCAUUGGUUUGAAGGUAAUUUAUGAUUCUUUAUUUUUUUGGUAAGCUUUUUCUCUCGAAGAAUCCAUCUUCAAAUUUCGUUCAUUACUACUGAAUCGAUCUUUCAGGUUUUCUUACCCACGCAAAUUCACCUUUUUAAAAUACUUCUCAAUUUUGCCUUUUAUUUUGUGAUAACACUUACUCAUCCAAUCUAAAAAAUUAUCUUUAUUCAUUGUUAUAUUACUGCUAUUAUGCUUAAUGUAUUAUGUCGGUGAUUACUAGUGAUUGAUUUUGUGCUGAACAUGUUUUCGACAACUUGUGAUUUCUCUGAAUUAAUUAGAGCUUUUUCAUUUUUGGAUAAGAAAUUCAAAAACAGCUGGGCUCAUAAAGUACACAUGUCAUUUUGAAAAGUUUGAAUUAAUUGAUAUGAGAUACACAUGCAAAGUACGUGCUCAGGAAGAAGUAUUGAAAAAUAUUACAAUAGACAACACAAUAACAAUUUAAUAGUAUUGAAGAAGAAUAUUGAAUGUUGAUAAUCAAUUGUAUGUGAGGUAUCAAGGACCUGUUAGUUAAACAAGUUUUUUUGAACUACUUUUACAUUUCAUAGGUCAUUUUAAAUUAAUAAAAAUUUAAUACAAACAAAGGUUUGAUCAGGUAUAAAAGUAUGAUACAAGCAUGAAGAGCAUAAAAGAGUACAAGGUAUUGUCAAAGGUUCGAGCUUCGGAAUUAACAAGUGUUUGGAGCCUUUUAAAGCCUUGUCAAGUUGAAGGAGGAGAAGGAAACCAUUACACUAAAGAGGCGCCUUACUUGAAAGACAAUAUGAACCUUGCAUACUAUAAUUGGACACUCAAGAGGCGCCCAUUAUUAGGGCUAUUAUGGUCCUUUAAAACUUUUUUUUACAUUCCAAAGAAGCACUCUUCAUUAAGGGUAUUUUAGUCUUUGUUUUGUAAUAGUCUAAAUAGGCACCUUAGCUCUUAAUUUCCUUAGUUUUGACAUAAUAAAUUGAGUGAAUUUUCAGAUUGUAAUAUUAGUGUUAGGUUGUAGUAUUCUCCUUCUUUAGAGAGUAGUUUGUAGUAUUCUCCUUCUCCUUAAGAGAGAGAAACCGAAUUAGGGUUAACACAAUUGAUAGAUUUCACUUGUGUUGACAAAUUGGCAAGAAAGGUGGGUUUUGAGGAGUGUGAAUUCCCUUGGUCCACCUAAGAAGAAGGUUUGAGCUUCUAUUGGUGUGGUGUGAUUGAUGGUUUGAUGCACCAUCUUUUGUUAAUCACUUGGUAGAAGUAAGGGUCUUUCUAUCUAUCUUUACGUUUAUGCAAUCUUCUUCUUCAUCCCCUUUCUUUUGCGUUAUUUUUGCUUGCUGAUUUUUGCAUCUUGUGUGUCCAUUUUGUGAAUUCCUAGUCUUCUCUUGUAUCAUUUGGUAUCAGAGUCUUGUUUAGGGUUGUUCCUACAACCCUAAGUCUUGGAUCUAAGAUAAUCUCAACAAAAAAAAGAGUGUAGAAAAUUGAAAAUCUCACAAAAAAAUUGUAAACCCGUUUUUGUAUUUGGGCAAAUUUUUAAAUCUUAGAUCUACAUGUUUUUGUGUUUUUUUGUUGGUUUCAAGUGCUAGAUUUUUGUUCCCUAGCACCUAGGGAUUCUAGAUCUAUAUUUGAAACAAGAUUUGGUCAAUUUUGAGCUAGAUCCAUCAUGGUUAUGGCGUUUUGAAGCUUCCAGAAGCUAGAUCCGUGUGGGUUUUGUGUUGUGGACGUUGAUUGGUUGUGAUUUAUUGUUAUUUGAGCUCAUCUUGACCUAAGGAACCUAGAUCUACAAAAAAAAAAAACUGAUUUGAAGUUCAUUUGGUUAGGGGUCAAACUUUGGUCAACUCUUAAAUAUUCAUCUUGUUCUUCCAUGUUCAUCAAGUCUUGUUAAGGAAGAAUAUUCAAUGAGUGUGUUUGAUCCAAAAAAGUAGAAGAAAGAGAGUAUACUUGAUGUUUGUGAAAGAAUAUUCCUUGGCAUAUUCAUUGUCAUCCAAAGAAAGAAGAGACAAAGGAAUAAUCAAAGUACAAAAUCAAGUACAUUCCAAAUACAAAGGAGGGGACCAUUGUUUUUGAAUUCAUUUGAAGCUCAAAAAAAGGCUCCAAACCUUCAAUUUUUCCCUCCCAAACGAAAAUUCUACUUGUUCAAGGGUGUUCUAGGCCGAGACUUGAAAAUUUUGAGUGAAAAUUUUGAAAACUCAACGUCCAAUCAUUGAAUGCCACGUCAUCAUAGCUCAAUGGCCAAAUUAAGUUCUUAGUUAGAUUUUCUAGUUUCUAAUUGUUGUUUCUAGUUUCGAUUUUGUUUAUUCAUCACUAAUUAGCAAACUAGUAAGUACCUACUAGGUUGAUAAUUAGUUUAGAGUCCAUUUAUUUCGUGUCUACGAUUUUUGUGUGCUUUUCUUGUUUUAAGUCAUAGUAGGUUUUUUGGUUCAAGUCCGUGCAUCAUUUUAUUUGAGUCUUAUCAAAUAAAAAUCGAUUUCAGACCAAGGCAUAUUCACCACUCAACUUACUUACCAAGUAUUGCCAAGUAUUCAACACUUGUGAGACCAAGUGUGAGGUGAGAUCCGAGUGUGAGUGUGUAAGGUUAUUUGAACUAACUUAUUUGUUCGUUUUGUAGGUUUUUGCCUUUGCUAUUUUUUUGCUCUUUUUUAGGUACCUUGACAAUGGAAGGAACAACAUCAUCCACUCCGGAUAGUUAUAGUAUUUAUACUACCUCGGAUCCUUUUGAAAAUUUCCAUCGGCACCUUGAAAGUCUACGCCAAUUGAUGAUUGAAGCAUGCCAUCUAAGACAAAUCACCACUAACCAAGAUACUAGCAUUUUGCCUAGUAUUAAUUCUCCUUGUGUGCAGGUUCAAGAUAAUAUACUUCCACCGAAGGAUUUAAGGAGAGUUCCUCAAGAACACAUGGUUGUUGAUCAAAUGGAGCUCUUGGCUAAUAAUUCUAACUUUGAGAAAAAUGAUAAAGUGUUGAUGCAAGGAAGAAUUCUUGACAAACUCCCUUGUAAUGAGAGCUUCCCAAAGGAACAAAUGGGCUGCCAUGAUCCAAACCUAGGUGAAGGUCAUACCUCAUGUGAGCUAAAAGGUAACAAUGCUAUCUCCUACACUCCUAUAAACUUAGAAUGCCGUGAUAUGGCUAGUAGUAGCCAAAUGGAUGUAGUUGAUAGUUUGCUUGGAGGAGAAUUGCAUGAGUCUUCCCUUUGUGAUACUCUUGGUAUUGUUAGAUUGCAUGAAGACCAAAUUCUUGAUGUAAGUUUGCAAGCACUAGUUGAUCCUAAAGAUGACAAAAUUGAUUUUUUUCGUAAGAAUGAAUUGUGUCCAUCUAGUGCUAGCACUUAUAACUUGAAUAAAGUUCCAUUACCAAGUGAUAAGAGUAUUCACACACUAGCUGACCCUUGUGAAAGUCAAGGUGAGUCUACGUUGGUAUGUGAGCUUUCAACAACUAGUGAGGAUGUGAAUGAUGAUCAACCUACUCCCGAAUGUAGUCCACUACUUGAGCAUAUGUGUGGUGUGUUUAAUAAAUCUCAAGUUAAUAAUGAUGUUGAUAGAGUUGAUCAUGGGAUUGGAGAUGAUUCUUUGAGCAUGUUGUAUUAUGAAAGCCAUAUUGAUAGAUUUGCUCAAAGAAAUCAAGAAAAGGCACAAUCGGAUGAAGGUGACCUUGAAUUGCUUGAAUAUGUAGGAAACUCGAACUGUGAUUGUUCUUGUGAACAUAUUUUUGUGUGUGAUCCCUUUGCUGCUCAUGGUGACUUAUAUCUAUGGGAAAAUUACUCUCUUGAAAUAGGAAGUGGUGCAUACUUAGAGAUUCCAUCUAUUUUUUCUUUGUGUGUUUCCUAUGUUGAGCAUCCUAGUGGUGAUAAACUUGGAACUAGUGAGUACUUGCAUAAGGGCACCAUAGUUAAAGUUGAUUUGUGUGACACCUUUCUCUACUCUCUAUUUGGCUUUAAUGAUAUGUAUGCUAUUGUAGAGAGUAUGUCUUUUAGAUGGGGGCGAAGCCUAUGGGGAAAAAGAGUGUUGUCUAGAUCCAUGUCUAAACUCUUUCCAUUUUGACCCUGGUGCCAAAUGUGGAUAUGACGAUGCUGGCACACCUAACUUUUUGCUUGGUCUACAUGACAAGCAAGGUAUUAUUCUUGAAAACCCGAGGGCAAAUGUGUCAUUGUCGUCUUGGGAUAAUGCUUCUAAAUGUGCAUCCUUACUUGACACACUUGUGCUUGAAUUGAAUGAAUCCAAACUUGUGGAUGCCAAGUUGAUGCUUUACUUGAAAGAAGGAAGCCAUAUGUGUUCAAAUGACUUGAUUCCAACCUUAUGUGCUAAAGCUAUUGAACUAAUUGGUAUUCUUAUAGAUUAUGACACCUUGGAUGAUGCCUUUACACUUGGUGUCUUCCUAUACUACCUCUUUGCUUAUGAUGAUAUCCAUGAUAGUUUUGUAUUUGCUUUAUGUAGGGGUAGGAUAUCUGUUUGUUGGUCCACUUGGAGUUAAAAUGCUAUAUGACUUUUGUGGACCUUUGUAGUUGUCGUACCUCUUGAUGUUUGCCUUAGCUGUGUCCUUUUUUUAUGCUUGUGGUAGGUGUUUCAUGAUUAUAACGAGGGAUAGUUGGUUAUAUUCCAAAAGUGUACCCCCUUGGCAUGUUCACCUAAUUUGUGGUACUAAUGCUAACCCUCCUAUCACGAGGAUUGUAUGUUUGUUUUUCCCUCUUUGUUGUUUUGCAAGGUGCGCAUUUGAGGACAGAUUCCUUUCAAGAUGGAGAGGAUGAUACAAGCAUGAAGAGCAUAAAAGAGUACAAGGUAUUGUCAAAGGUUCGAGCUUCGAAAUUGGCAAGUGUUUGGAGCCUUUUAAAGCCUUGUCAAGUUGAAGGAGGAGAAGGGAACCAUUACACUCAAGAGGCGCCUUACUUGAAAGACAAUAUGGACCUUGCACACUAUAAUUGGACACUCAAGAGGCACCCAUAGUUAGGGCUAUUAUGGUCCUUUAAGACUUUUUUUUACACUCCAAAGGAGCACCCUUCAUUAAGGGUAUUUUAGUUUUUGUUUUGUAAUAGUAUAAAUAGGCACCUUGGCUCUUAAUUUCCUUAGUUUUGACAUAAUAAAUUGAGUGAAUUUUCAUAUUGUAAUAUUAGUGUUAGCUUGUAGUAUUCUCCUUCUCCUUAAGAGAGAGAAACCGAAUUAGAGUUAGCACAAUUGAUGGAUUUCACUUGUGUUGACAAAUUGGCAAGAAAGGUGGAUUUUGAGGAGUGUGAAUUCCCUUGGUCCACCUAAGAAGAAGGUUUGAGUUUCUAUUGGUGAGGUGUGAUUGAUGGUUUGAUACACCAUCUUUCGUUAAUCACUUGGUAGAAAUAAGGGUCUUUCUAUCUAUCUUUAUGUUUAUGCAAUCUUCUUCUUCAUCCUCUUUCUUUUGUGUUGUUUUUGCUUGCUGAUUUUUGCGUCUUGUGUGUCCAUUUCGUAAAUUCCUAGUCUUCUCUUAUAUCAAAGUAGUAGAUCCAAAUCAAUAUAAAGUCCAAAUAUAGAUAAAUAAAAGUAACAAAAAAUAUUUAAAAUUCCUCGAAAGUUUCUCAUUUUGUCUAUUUUCGUUUGAGAGAUUAGGAAACGCUUUGUCGUUCUCUAUGAGCUAGUCGGCGUUGUAGUUAUUAUCUUCUUGUCUAGAUGUUAUGAUGAGAGAUCAUCUUCUUGUCUAGAUGUUGUGACAAGUAGCUAGCCAUAUUCUCUGAUAAAUAUCAAGGUGAUUUCUACCCUCUAACUCCACUACUCUCCCUUUACGAUGUAUCGAUUCUCUCCUCUAAUGUAGAUAUAUCGUUUAUCUAUGUUAGAGAGUUAUUGUGCAUUAUGAAUCUCGAUGUUUUUUAGAAAUUAAAUUUUAGAUCUACAUGAUCGUGUUUUAUUAUUUAUACAAUAGUCUUACAACAAAACAAAAUUCAAUCGCCUAAAAUAAAAAAAAAUCAUAAAAUCAACUUGAUCCAAGAACAGUGACCCUACCUAAACAAAAUUCUAAAACAAAACAUCAAAAAGCAAAUAUUGAAAUUUUAACAAGAAAUGUCUGAUACACUUCUUUGUCAUCUUCACUGCCUGAAAAUAUUGUUUGAACCAACAUUUUAAUUUCAAGAUCUCUAGCUCGCGGUUUGUUUCUUUAUCUCUUUCGUGACUUUUAUUUUACGAUUUCUUAGUUUGAAGAUGACUCAUGAUUCUUUGUUUUUCAGUGAGCUUUUUCUCUCGAAGAAUUAGUCUCUGAAUUCGUGCAAUACUACUAAAUCGAUCUUUCAAAUUUCUCUUAAGCAAGAAAGUCCAUCUUUUUAACAUGUUUCUUAAUUUUGCCUUUUAUUUUGUAAUAACACUUGCUCAUGCAAUCUGAAAAAUUAUCUUUAUUUAUUAUUAUAUUGUGUUAUUGAUUACUCGUGGUUGAUUUUGUGUUGAACCUGAUGUCGGUAAGUUGUGAUUUUUCUGAAUUAAUUAGAGUUUUUUUAUUUUUGAAUGAAAAAUCUAAAAAGAUUGUGCUCAUUUUAAAAAGUACACAUGUUAUUUUAAAAAAAAAUUGGACUAAUCAAUGUGCGAUAACAUGUGCUUUCAAAAAUAAAAUUAAAAUAAAUAGCAAUAGCCAAUACAAUAACCAUAAUAGUAUUGAAGAAUAAUAUGGAAUGAUGAUAAUCAAUUGUACGAGAUGAUAUCAAGGAUCUGACAGUUAAACAAGUUUUUUUAGAGUUAUUUUUAGAUUUCAUAGGUCAUUUUAUUAAUUAAAUAGAAAUUAAAACAAACAAAGGUUUGACCAGGCCUAAAAAUCGAAUCAAAUCAACUAAAAGUCCAAAUAUAUGUAGAUAAAAGUAACAAAAAAUAUUUAAAAUUUCUCUGAAAGUUCUCAUUUUAUCUAUUUUCAUUCGAGAGAUUAAAACACUCUCUGUCUUUCUCUACGAUCUAGUCAGCGUCGGAGUUAUCAUCUUUUUGUCUAGAUAUUGUGACGGACAUCUAGCCAUAUUCUCUAAUAAAUAUCAAGGUGACUUCUACCCUCUAAUUUAAUUACUUUCUCUUUAUGAUAUAUCGAUUCUCUCCUCUAGUGUAGAUAUAUCUUUCAUCUAUGUUAGAGAGCGAAUGUGCAUGAUAAAUCUUGAUGUUUUUUAGAAAUUAAAUUUGAAAAUCCUAAAAUCAACUUGGUCCGAGAGCAGUGACUAUUUUUGGUGAUUUAACUUUUGAGUUUAGGUGUUUUAGCAUCAUCAUCAUCAUUAUCAUCAUCGUUAUUAUUAUUAUUAUUAUUAUUAUUAUUAUUUUAUUAUUAUUAUUAUUAUUAUUAUUAUUAUUAUUACAAAUCAAAAGUGCUCAGGUAAGUCUUUUCAUUAUUUUUAUUUUAUGAUAAUAGCAUGAUCUUUUAGCAAUAUAUAUGCCAUAACUUUGUUUACAAUAGUAAUUCCAAAACUUUUACUAAUAAUUUUUUCCAUUUUCCUCAAAUUUCAUGCACAUAUAUAACAUGAAAGAAAUUAAAAGGAUUUGAAAAACUACGUCAUUAUCUAUAUAUAGUAAGAAAUUAAUUUCCUAUACAUCUACAACAAUUUAAAAAAAAAAAAAUCUAGAAAAACCAUCCAUGUUUAUUUGAAAAUCUCUUAAUUAUUUUUAACUAACCUUCUAAAAAACCAUCAUAUCUAACUACUCCUAUUAUAUUAACAACAUUAACAAUGAAUUACAAAACACAAACUUUAGAUAAUCAUAUUUGCUGCAUAUAAUAGCAUUCACAAUAUAAUGAAUUAUUUAAAUUUUUCUUAAUUAUAUAAAUUUUCACAUCAUAUACAAAAUAACAAUUUUUUUCAUAUAUGAGAAAUAACAUUUUUUUUUUUUUAAUUUCCACCUUGAUUCACUCAUGUUGAAAUUUACCUUACCAAAGUAGUAGUAACUUUUAGUCAGACUGUGAUAUAGUAAAUCUUGACUUUUGUAACAUUUUUGACGUCAUAAUACCUAAGAAGACAUGGGAAUCCACGAAGUACAAUGGUCAAAUCGAAUCACUGUCCGAAAAUUUUUACUCUAUACAGUACAUAAUUUUUUUUUUAAUUAAUUUAAUUUUAAUUCAACAAUUAACUUUUUUUUGGGAAAUUUAAUUAAUUUAAGUAUAGAAGAGAAGACCUUUGAAGUGUCGUGCAUGCAUUUUGUGCUUCCAUCUUUUUUGUUUCUUUCCUUCUCUUCUUUGCAUGCAACUUUCUUUCUCUACUUUCUCUCUCUAAAAUCCUUGUACUUUGUUCACUUUGUUGUGUAUAUACAUAUGUAUAGUCUCAUGAAUCUUUUUAUCAGUUUCUCUAUAAUAGUAAAUUACUCACAGACCACCGACCACCGCUGUUGAUUUUUUUUUUUUUUUUUUGUUUGUAUUAGUAUUUGACCCAGUUUUUUUUCCAGUUCAGGAAUCAUUGUUAAGGUUUUUUUUUUCUGGGAAAAAUUUGCUGCAUUUUUUGAUAUUGGUUAAGGUAAGAAUUUGUACUGUUUAGUUUUUUUUUUCCUGGUGAUUUUGGGGGGGUUUUUUGAUCUGGGUUUAAUGAAUUCUUGAUGGGGUUUUUAGGGUUUUUGUUAAUUUUUUGUUCAUGUUGAGGUUGAUUUUUCAUCUGGGUAGUUGGUACAUUUGUAAAUUUUUGUUCAUUUAAGUAUUUGUGCUGUUUAGUAUUUUUGGUGAUUUUUGGGUUUUUUUUGGAUGUGGGUUUGGUGUUUUCUUGAUUUUUGAAAGGGUUUUUGUUGAUUUAUAAGUUGAUUAAUUGAGAUUUGUUGCUAAAGAUUUGAUUUUUAGGGAUAUAAAUGGGGUCAAUGAUUUGCAUGAAUGAGCUUUGUCGUGCAACGACGUCGUCAGAAUGGAAGAAAGGUUGGGGAUUCAAAUCUGGUGGAUUUGCUAAGCUUUGCUACAACUGCGGGUAAUUAAUUAAUUUCUCUUUCCUAAUUGUUGCUUUGUUGUUCAUGAAUUUUUGCUUGACUUUCUGAUGCAAAGGGCAUUUUGGGGAUGUGGGGUUUUUUCGGAUCUCCCUGAAUAUAGAGGGGGCAAUUUUAUUUUUCUUUGUUGAGAAAUUUUUGUUUGUUGCAUUAUGGGUUUGUUCCUAAAUUUAGGAUUUUUAGUCAAAUGUCACAUUUAAGUUUGCUACUUUACAGUUUAUGCUUCAAGAAUGAGUGUGAUUACAUAUAUGUUUACGCGUAAAUAGUUUUUGUGUUCAAGUGAGUUCAUGUUGUUUUUGUGUAAAGAAGCUAUCUUUGAGGUAAGGAGGGAGGAAGGUAGAAGUCAAAGGACCUUAUGGUGCCCCUUUGUUCUCAUUUUCUUAAUUUUGAGAUUUUAGCUAAAGAUAAAUAAGUUUUACGUGAUGAUUUAGGGGUCAUUGGACAUAAAAGAUGAGACCUUUUAUUAGUUUUGGAAUUAUAUGUUUCCAUGUUAUCUCUUAAGCCACUAAGGUGUUUAUAGUUGGAUGCAUCCAGUUCCAAGAUAAUAACCUGUGGAAGCUAUUUUGAGUUUGAGGCAAUAGUACAUUCUUGCGUUGUUGAUUUUUGUUGGUCUUCCCAUGUAAAAUGGCAUGUCUGUAUCUUUUUCAACUGUUUGGUUGUUAAUGUGGUUCUUUUUGGUUCUUGAAAUCGGAAGUAUAAGUUCCUAUUUUGGAAUUCAACUUCUUUCUUAGAGCUCUCUUGUAUGAUACUGUUUCUGUUUCGGACUCAUAUUGGUAGUGUUAGCUUUUUUUGUUUUUUGCUAGUCUUUAUACAAGCGUCACAAAGUAAGAGCCUUUUCAUCAGUCUUGACAUAUAGUUGUCUUGUAACUUUUAUGUAUGACACUGUUGUUGUUCCGGACUCAUAUUGGUAUUGUUAAAUUUUUUCUUUGCUCUUCGUUAUGCAAGCGUCGCGAAGUAAGAGUCUUUUCAUCAGUGUUGACAUAUAGUUGACUUGUAAUUUUUGUGUAUGGCACUGUUGUUGUUCCGGACUCAUAUUGGCAUUGUGAAUUUUUUUUCUUGUUCGUCUUUAUACAAGCAUCACAAAGUACGAGCCUUUUCAUCAGUCUUGGCAUAUAGUUGACUUGUAAUUUUUAUGAUGUUUCUGCCUAACUUUUUAUUAGUAUUAUUAUGCAAUUAGUAAACCAAAGUUUUGUGUGCAGAUCUGCUUUUGAAAAUUUUGUUUUCUGUGAGACGUUCCAUCCGGAUGAAUCUGGUUGGAGGGAAUGCAGAACGUGUAGAAAGGUAGGUCACUGAAUCAUGUACUACAUUUGCAUGGUCAACUAGUGUUUUUGGUCACUGAAUCACGUACUACAUUUUCAUGGUCAACUAGUUUUGACUCUAUCUUCAUUUGGUCUGGCAGCGUAUACACUGUGGCUGUAUUGCGUCAAAGUAUUUGUAUGAGUACUUGGAUUAUGGAGGUGUUGCAUGUAUACUCUGUGCACGUCAUUUGGAUGGUCAUUCCACCAGGCCAAUACAGGUAUCCUUAUUUAAAAAAAAAAUAAAAAAUUUUGGGUUUAUUUCCAUUUUUGACGAGACAGAGAGGGAUAUGCAUGGUGCAAUCUGAUCAAUUGACUAUAGAUCAGCCCAAUAUUUACAGUUGGGAAGUGGUGGCUUAGACGCAUUUAUAAUGCAUGUUGUCAUUACAUAUUCUCUGCUAGUGGAUUUAGGAAGGUUUGCUGCUUCUUCUGUUUAUCCGUAUUAUGUUGCAGAUUCGAUAAAUUGUAAAGAUGGUUGUAGGUCGUUGCAUUGGUGUGGGAAAAACACUAAAAGUAGAACCAAGGAAGUGCUGAUGUUACAUCCAAAAGUAUAAACCUAAAAGUAGAGAUUCACUGGUUGUAUUACGACUUCAUGACGUCCAACAUGGCUUCAGAAUCAUGUAAAAAAGCGUUGUUGUUCCAAAAGAAAAGCAAAAGAAUCCUUGUAAAUAGAUAAGAACAGAUUAACCCAUUGGAUCUCUCUUUCAUUUUUUUUAAAAUGUGGUUACCGGCCAGCUUUUUGUGCUGAUGAAUAUGCUAUUAUUAUUCUAAAAAAAAAAAAAUCAAAAGAAUAAAUUUGUAAAUUUGUUUUUUUUUUUUUGUUUUUGAGGGAUUUUUGCUGAUCCCGACCCUUAUCCAGCAUUGCAAAAUCUGUAAAUUUGUCUUAGGCAUGGACCAUCUGAGAUCUAGCAUACAGAGGGCUUGUUGUUAUCGUUGUAUAGAUCAGAAUGGACUAUGCCAAAGACAUUGAUUCUCCAAUUGCAUGGCAAGGUUAUGUAUAGGAUGAACUUUAUCGAAAUAAAAGAAAAUGAAGUUAUUUUUUAAGUGGUCUCCAGAAAGCCAAAUGCUCUUACGCUUCAUAGUUUACAACUUCUCUGUGCUCUCUAAAAUUUUAAUAUUAUAAGCAUCUUAGUGGAAUUAGUUUUUAUGAAUAAAAAUAAAGACAGUUAUGAAAAAAAGGAGAAAUAGUGAAUUUCUCUCCAACACUUUUUACCGCAAUUACUCAAUAGGAUGAUGUUUGAACACGAAAUAUACUGGUAGUCUCACUUUUUGGGAGCUGAGUAAAAAGGGUUAUGCUUCAUUCACCUGUUUUAUGCUGUUUAUUUUAAUUUAUCGCAUUUGACUAGUUUAGGGAUUAAAAAAAAAAGAAAAAUUAUAUGAGAGCUUUUGAGCAUGUUAAUAAACAAAAACUCAAAUGAGUAAAUGGAGUAUUUGUCAGAAAUACUCCUCCAUCUCAGUAGAAAUACCUAUGACUUGUGUAGAUAUUGAGAUAAAAUGUUUACCAUGGCUAAUAAAGAAGUGUUUUUGUAAUAAUAAUAAUUUGGAAUGUAAAAUUAAGUAGUGGUUACUAAGGUGUGAAAUAAUAAAAACAACAGCGUUAGUUUUUACUCAUUUCUUUUAAUUUAGGUGACACCAUUUGGUUGGAUUUGCAGUUUAAGAUAUCAUUUGACUUGUAUAUUUUGUAAAUUAGUAAUGUAAAAAUAACUUAACCUAAUAGUUGAAAAAACUAGAUUAAGAGAGAAAAAAUCACGUCUCAUAAAUUUGAUAGGUGAAUAGAUUUGGAUUCUAAGAACUUGUGAAGGUUAUAUAAAAUAAUAUUUAUGAGAAGAAUGGUGUGAAAUAUAUUCGGAUGCGCCAAAACAGAAGGGAUGUAAUAAAAAUUGGGAUAUAGGAAUAUACUAAUUUAAAUUGUUAAAGGAGAAAUAAUUUUCAUCCAUUGAAAGACAUCAAACUUCUUGGAAUGGAUCUAAAAAUUAAUUUGGUGAUUGGUGUUGGUUACUUGGUUUUAAGGUCCAUCACAUUAAAGAAAUGGUAUUGAAAAUCUAAAAUUAAUUGUUUACUCAUUAAAAUUUUGAAAGAUGAAAAAAGAUUUCAUUGAUGGACAUGGUCAAGAAAUUGUAAAUAGAAGUGGGUCAAGAUAUUUAUAUAAUUGUAUAUAAGACAUGCAUACGUACUUUCCCUUAUUUAUUUCUGUUUCUCUAAUCAAUCAAUAAAUCAACCCCUUUUUAAAUAAAUUCUUCUGUUUGUUAUUGACGUUUAGUAUUCAUAUGCAUGUACUAUUAUCUUGUCAAAUUUGUUUUUGUGACCUUUCUUGGCAAGCUAACUUUUUAAUUGACUUAUAUUCUCUAUUUUUGGUUGUCGUUUACUAAGAAAAUUUAUUUAAAUAAGCCUUACUCAUGAUGGCACACUGAUAGUUAUAUUAUGUUCAGUCUAUGAUAAGAGUCUUUUAGUCUGUGUAGAGACGUAUAUGUGGUAAGUGGUAGAGAACCUCUAGUUAUUGAAUUAUUGGAAUAAUACUUGCAAACGGUUCUGAAUGGAGCAAAACAGAUAAUGAGGAUUCCUAGAGCGAUCUAACUACAAUCAUCUAUAACAACAUCCUCAGACCUCGAUAACAAUAUUUCACUAUAAUGGUCAAGAUUCUUUUGGAAUCAAUAUUUCAUGUUGUGUCAUAUUACAUAUUUUCUAUGACAACAUUUCACAAUAGCAGCUAAGAGGAAUCGAGACAAACGACACCUUUGUACAGAGGUUUGUAAUUGGGAAUGAAGCGUUAUUAGUAUUAGUAGUUCUUGAUUUUAAAGAAUUGUGGAAGUAUUUAAAAUUACAAGGUCAAAAUUAGCUAUCUCCAAUAAUGGGAGAAGAGUGAAGUCGGAUGCAGUUUAUUCCAUACUGAUAACCAUCAAUGGUGAAAAUUCACACUGCCACUGCAUUAUAUUACUUUCAAAAUUUCACGUAGUAAUUCUGCAAAUUAAUGCAGCUUUUGCUCUUAGAGAAAGCGUCCCGUGGUUUCUAAGUCCUUAGAAUAGGUAGUCUUGUGUCUGUAUCGUGUCCAUGCAAAUGUCAUUUCCAUGCAACACAGAUACAACAACAUUGCUCUUUUUUUUUUCUUGUUCACAUUUUCUGUGUGCUUUAACAUUUGAAUAUUUGAUAUUCAGAUGCUCACUUCAUACUUGAUAUAUGCUCUUUCUGGUAAGAUUACGUGGUAAAAUUUGAAUACAUUGUCUUAUCUUUAGUUGUCAUGUCCUAAGAAAACUAUCUAAAAUAAUAUUGUAAAGAUAUGUGUAAGUAUCUAAAAAAGCAGGAUCAAAAUAAUUUGUCUCCAUUAUGGGAGAGAGUUGGGUUAAUCUCAGUUUGGUCCAUGCUGGAGUAACCAUCCACCAUAGUAUAUUACUCUAAUUCGGCAAAUUGAUGCAGCUUUUCACUUAGAGCAAGCAUGCUAUGUGAUUUGGUUUCUGGCUUUAUUAAAAUUAUAAAUCUUAUGUGUAUAUUUUGUCCAUACAACACUGGAAGACAACCCCACCAGAAAGCCAAAACCCAAUCCCCUAAAGAAACAAGCAAAUUCAAGAUAUUGACAAAUGAAUAGCUUCACUUUUUUGUCUCUUUCUUUUGUUUCACUUAUCUAGUUGGAGUUCUUUUUACGUGUUCUUUGAAUGUGUAUGCGCACUUCACGUAGUCUUUUACUAAUAAUUGAAUUCCCCGAAAGUAUUUUCUUUGACCAACUUAGCUGAUGGUCAUUUGACGUAAUGAGUCUUAAUCAUCUUAUAAAUGUUUUUGCAGAUACCUGGUGAUGAUCUUCGUAAUGGCACAUUGGGAUCUAAGACUGCACAGCCACUGGGCGUUGAGAAUAAAAUGGAUGAGCAUGAGUUUGACAGAAGAAGGCUUAUGCAGUUGAGCAAGACAGGGGAAAGCAGUGAGCCUGGUCAACUUUUUCAAACUCAAAAGAAUCUUCCUAUUGGUAAUAUGAGUACAUGCUUUUCAAAUCUGAGCCAGCAGCCCUUUGGAGCUUCUCUAUUUGGCAAACCGGAUACUGAGAGACCAGGUCAAGGAGUUAAAGAUAUGUAUGACUCGAUCAAUCAGCCGUCUCUAAAUUUCUCUUUGAGUACUCCAAUUGGUACUUCAAGUUCAGGACAGCCUUUUCCCGGUGGGGAUAUUGAAGGAAGGGAACAAAGCAAAGCUUCUCUCUUUCAACAGAGCCAAAGGGCACGCCAUAUAUUGCCCAAGCCCCCCAAACCUAGCCCAACAUCAGGCUCUGAAUCAAUAAAAGCAAUGGCUUCACCAGCACGGAUUGCAAGACCGCCUGCCGAAGGGCGUGGUGGCCGCAAUCAGCUACUGCCUCGAUACUGGCCUAGAAUUACAGACCAGGAGUUACAGCAGAUAUCUGGCGAGUAUCCUUGAUAAUGUAUUAUUUUUGGUUGCUAUUAGUCAUCUUUGAGUUGUGUAUCACUCCUAUUUAUCACAAUGGGAUCAGCAGGCUCUACGUAUGGUUUCUUCUACUUUCCCUUCCCAGUCUUGAUAUCAAGUUUUACUUUAACUGGAAUUUCAGCUUGAAGUCCACUGUUGUACCUCUGUUUGAGAAGGUCCUAAGUGCCAGUGAUGCUGGACGAAUAGGCCGUUUGGUUCUGCCGAAAGCAUGUGCUGAGGUAUUAGUUACUUCUUCAUAUUUUUUUGUACUUUCUGAAAUUGAUAUCUUGCCUGUUAUCUUUAUGCUUAAUCAAUGCCAAUUCCUGUGCAGGCAUACUUUCCUACCAUAAACCAAUCAGAGGGUCUACCGAUAAGGAUCCAGGACAUAAAGGGCAAAGAGUGGACAUUCCAGUUCAGAUUCUGGCCUAACAACAAUAGUCGAAUGUAUGUUUUAGAGGGUGUCACUCCUUGUAUUCAGAAUAUGCAAUUGCAAGCUGGUGAUACCGGUAAAUAUUCAUGCUUUCAUCUUAUAAAAUAAUUUCAUGCUCCUCAUUGUUAUGGAACGUUCCAGUUAUCUCCUCUCCCCCACCCUAACCCCCAAUAAUUCUGCAUCCUGGUCUGCUUUUUAGUUAUGCAUAAAAGAUAUGCUUGUUUAGGUCAUAUAACCAACCCUGUUUGUAUACAAAACAUUCUCUUGCAUGUUUCCAUCUGUUUUUUCUUUUGAGUUCAAUGGAGAUGUUAAACCGCCAUCCCACCCCAGAAACUAAGGACAAUCAUGGAUAAGAGGCAUGUAUAUUUCUCAAUGGAGAUGGGUACCCCCCCACCCCUACGUCCACCCCACCCCCAGAAACAAAGGACAAUGAUUGCUUAGAGGCCUGUAUAUUGGAUAGAUCUAUCAGAGAAAUCUUUUUCCAUCUCUGGCAAAAUGGCUAGUUAUCUGACUGUAGAUGCUGUCUUUCCUUUUUUCGGUCGUUAAUUGACUCUGUAUUUGAUAAUGAUAGUGAUUUUCAGAUAGAACUACUGAUUAUGGUUUAUUGUUGUAGUUAUAUUCAGUCGAAUAGAUCCAGGAGGAAAGCUUGUUAUAGGAUUUCGGAAGGCAACAAACAAUGUUGACGUGCAGGUUAUCUACAGAAACAUCGUUUGAUGUUGUCACCUUUCUUUUCAUGGUUAAUGUAGUGAUCUUAUUUCCCACUUUUGAUAUGCAAACAGGAGUCUCAAACGCCUAACCUUACCAAUGGCAAUGGCUCUGCAGAAACUUCAUUUUCUGGCAUGGCUGAAAACUUUCCAGUGAGUGUUUACUCUAGCCAUCUGGUCUUUUUGCAAAGCAAGUAUACUCAUAUGCUUGAAGUACUUGAAUUUUCUCUUUCCCGUAAUGCGAAUUCUUUUUGCCAUCGAAACAUGAAAAGAAUGGAGGCAGGACAAGCGAUGAUUCUAUGAACAGGCAAGUGCCAAUGUCUGAGAAGAAAAAAUCAAGAAACAUCGGGUCCAAAAAUAAGAGGCUUCUUAUGCAUGCUGAUGAUGCUAUGGAACUCAGAAUCACUUGGGAAGAAAUACAAGAAUUAUUCCGGCCAUCUCCAACUGCCAAGUCUACCAUUGUUGUGAUUGAGGAUUGUGAAUUUGAGGAAUAUGAAGUAAGUGCAACCAAAAUGCGGAAAGCUACAAAAUUCUCUCUUUUCUUUAAUGUGAUACGUUGAAAGUUUUACACUCUUUUCUCUUCCUCUAUAGGAACCACCAGUUUUUGGAAAGAGGACAAUAUUUACUGCCCGAUCUUCUGGGUAAGUUAAACUGAAUGUACCAAAUGAAGUUUAUUUGUCGUUCUCUGUUUUGUCAAUGGAUCAACUUCCGCAGACUUGGGAAAUUUGAUAUGUUGUAGCUCAACGCCUCAACCUAUUCCAAAAACUUCUUCGGAUGUGUAAACUGUCGCAUGAAACCUUUGAACUUCUUUUUCGCCCCACCCCUGGUCCAUAUUUCAACAUGGAAGAUGCAAAACCUGAAAAGCUCAGGGCAGAGUUUUGCGCUUGUCAAUAUCAAAACUACAGUUUUAGAAUGAGUGAUAGCAAUCUGAUUGUUGGUUGCUCUGCUGGGUAUUUGUUUUUUUGUUGAAGUUCAGUGUUAAUUUCUGUUGUACCUUACAACAGGGAUCAGGAGCAAUGGGCUCAAUGUGACAGCUGUUCUAAAUGGCGUAGGUUGCCGGUGCAUGUUCUCCUUCCUGCAAAGUGGACUUGUUCGGACAAUAUUUGGGAUUCAAGAAGGUCUAUAUCUGGCCCCAUCGAUCUCCCACUUUCGAUUCACGUUUGAGACUAGAUUAGUUUUAUCUUCAUUUUUCAAGAUAUCACAUUGCUAAAAGAAGAAGAAAAUUUGCCUUUUUGGCCAUAUGGCAGUCUCUCUCUUGGUAGGUAAACCAUAAAUCUGCGUGCAAUUAUGCUCUACCAAUUUUAGUGGCUUCUUACUAUGAUAUCUGUACAAACUGAGAUACUUUUGUGACUACUCUUGGGUAUGAAAGAAGGAUAUUCUGAGCCUAGAUGAAUGUGCCAUGUUUUUCAGAUGCAUUUGCUUUCUUUCAUGUGUAUGUGUGUGUUUUGGUAAUUAGCCUACACAAAUUGUGCCAUUUCACAUAUUUACAUUUAGUUAUAACUAUUCAUCUGGAUGUUUGAUAGCUGUGUUACUUUAUUACAGAUGCUCUUGUGCUGCUCCAGAUGAGAUUAAUCCAAGGGAACUGGAAGCUCUCUUUAGCGUUGGCAAGGGUAUGGGAUAUCUUUUCUCAUUAAUUAAUAGAUAUCUUCCCUCCCCCUAUAUUUUUUUGCCUUUUGAUUCUUUGUUAAUGACACACAAUGUUCACACACCCACACAUUGACAAGAACGCUGAUGUGUGAUUUAAAUGGGUUUAGUUUCUGAAGUCUUCGUCGCUAAAAGGUCAUUUACAAGGAAAAAGUAGAUCUAUAUACAAAGCUUCAAGAUGAACCAUCAAUUCUUAACAGAUAGGUAUAUUUUGUAAAUGAAAGUAAUGGAAUAAAGGGUUUAAGGGCUCGCUAUUCGAUUACUUGCAUUUAUUUGAAUUAAUGGUUCAUUUUGAAAAAAAAAAUCAUUUUAAAAAGAGUGAGUUUAAGGAAUUUCUGUUAAACAAACUUUCUCCUGAUGCUAGGAAGCCGACUUUUCAUUUAUAUCUUGAUGUUUAUUGGCUCAAAGCACUACAUCUAAGUAAAUCGGUUUGACUAUGGUUGGAGGGGAAGCUCCAUCUGUGAUGAAGACAUCAUACAAGUGAAAGCUCUUUUUACACCUAAAAAUUUGUUUGUUGUGUUUUGGAAUUGAAAAUCUUCAAUCAUGCCCUUGUUACAUUGAUGUUCCUUCGUGAUUCUAGCAAUUUUUUUUGUUCCUUCAUGAUCUUCAAUCAUGUGUGUGUAAUUAUAUCAAAAAUAGUAGAUGUACUAUGAUUCUUGUAUGAAACACUUCAUAGAUUGAAACAUAUGAAUUAUGCUGACCUUUCUUUAUAUAAUCUAGUCGCUCACUAAUCACUAUUAGUGUCUUCUCAUUCCAGAUCCUAAGAGGCGAAAACUUGUAGAAACCAAUGAAGAUUGUGAGCCUUCUGGGCUAGAUGCCUUGGCAACACUUGCUGUUUUAGGAGAUAACAUUGGUGACUUGGGAGAGCCUUCAGUUGGAGCCACAACGAAACAUCCUCGGCAUCGCCCUGGUUGCACUUGCAUAGUGUGCAUUCAGCCUCCAAGUGGGAAGGGCAAGCACCAGCCGACGUGUAAGUGCAACGUCUGCUUGACUGUGAAACGUCGUUUUAAGACACUAAUGAUGCGUAAGAAGAAAAAACAAUCAGAACGAGAAGCGGAGCUUGCACAGGGAAAGGAUCAGGUCCCUCCUAAAGAUGAAUCAGAAAUAGACGUGAUAAGUGGAAUAGAGUUGCUUCAAAUGAAUCAUUCUGAGAACGAACUCAUGAAUAACUCCGAGAAUGAAAGGAAUUCAAAUGGGGAUCAAGCGGAGGAGUUUGCAGCCGGGAAGGGACAGUUGGACCUUAACUGCGACCCGAACCGUGAUGAUGACAUGCUAGUAGAGGCCACUGCUGGAAUGAGCAUGACCUCCCUUGUUAAUGCUGCCAACCUCCCUCUGGAGUAUCUAACGCAGAAAGGGCUCGAGAGCUUGGGCACCUCUCUACUGUCACAAGCUGCCGGUGAGAGUGAAGACCACCAUCCAGAUAACGUAUUCGCGAAAACUGCUGAUGCUGAACAGGAGAGUAAAGGCGACUGAGCGUUAUCAACUCCCUAUCUUCAGUUGGUAAUUUGUUUUGUUUAUUUCCAGUUAUAUGAGCCUCAAGUUAAGAUAUAUAGUGUUGUUCACAACCUCAUAGUCAGGUGUUGUUAUACAUACUCACAGUUGUAGGAAUCUGCUUUGUCUUUCAAGUCCUUCACUUUUUGUGGGUCUCAUACAUACCUACUGGAAAAUGUACUUUGUUCUUUUGCCUAAUUUGUGUACUUUAUCAAGGAAAAGCAACCAAAGUUCCAGCAAGCGUUUGACAUCAUUUGGUUCUUUUUAGGUAGGUGGCAGCAUUAUUUAUCUCGUGGUUUGAUGGAUUCAAGAUUUGAAGUUUAUGAGCUUUAAAUAGUAUUUAUCCGUCCUGUGGGAUAAGAAAUUAUAAUUUCGAAAUACAUUGCGAGAUUAUUUUAUUUCGUAAUUAGUACUACAAUCUUAUGGUUCUGGUAUAAGCAAUCUCGGUACUGUUUAUAACACAACUAUGGUAUUAAUUCCAGGAUGGAACAACAAAAGGGCAUAUUUUCCACCCUCCAAAAAUUUUCAACAAAGGAAAGGAUAAAUCUUAUCCCAAAUUAUCCAGUGUAAAUCACACGCAUAUUUCAUAUCAUAGUUUCUAAUCUUAUUUUUAAUCUAAUGAAUCCAAUAUCUAUGAAUAAAAAUAGUUUCAUUAAUAAUCACGUCAUUUAAUUCACAUAUUAAUCUCGUCACUAUAACCCCGGAAUAACUUAUUCCUAAGCUAUGUGAGUCCUGCUAGUCCUGACAUCAACGUGAACCAUGUAUAAGAGUAUCUUAGCAUCCAACUUAAUUAUAAUAUGAAGCACGUGAAGUGUGUAAUUUCUCAUCUCAUUUAAACAUUUAAGCAGUUUAUAUUAUUAUUAUUAUUAUUAUUAUUAUUAUUAUUAUUAUUAUUUUAAAAGCAUACUUUUAGGUGCCUAAUUACGUAUAUUAAGUCUCAAUAUAUUAUCACGUGUAGGUCUGAUUCUCACAGUCUUGACUUGUGAGAAAGCAUGCAGCCUAUUAAUUAAUUAUACUACCACAUUAUGUUUCAACAGGUCACUCACAUGUCGACGACGCCUUUAAACUAUAUUUAUUUGUAUUUGAGUGCUUGACCAAUGCACCUAAGAAGAAUUGAAAUUAUCAAAGAUUACCUAUUUGUUCGUUAAUUAAUAGUACUAAUAUUUGUAUUGUCUCAACAGCAUGUCUUUUCGAGCACGUCACAGAAAAGAACUGAUUUCCAUCCACCAAUACUUUUUCCCAGUAGUAAAAGUCAAACACGUUAUGUGUCACAUCCAAAAAAGAUAGAUGAAACUACUCUCCAAGGGUUGCAAUCCGAGUACAAAAAACAUCUUUGUAGCAUGCGUUUCCCGAUUAAAUGCAUCCUACGCAAUGCAAAUCCAGAUAAGUCGAGGUUUCAGUGUGGGUACCGACAAGAAAAUACUCUCUUCCCAUUCAAAGGGCUGCUGCUCUUCAGUUUAAUUAAACCCCUUUCUAAGUCUUUUUGGUUCUCCGGCCAUGACAAUAGUUGACACGGCGAAUGCGAUGAAAAUCAUGAUGAUUAUAAUCAUUGUGGCAACAUUCUCAUCUUUUCUCCCUGUUGAAAUUCUCCGAGGCAUUCCAAUGACAGAAACCAUCUUCACAACUGGUUCAUAAACUAAAAUUUAAAGCUUUCAUCCUUUUCCAAUCCAUUUGAUGCCAAACAUGCAGUUGCAGCUUCUGCAGACUCGAAGGGAAGUCUUCCAUUGUGUCGUCAAACACAAAAUAUGAUUGCCCUCAGCCCAAGGCUACAUAGCAGUGAAAGUAGCAGAGCAGCAAGAACCAUUAGCAAACAUGAGCUAUUUGAAAUCAAGACUUUCCCCGGAUGCUAUUAUGGUUCGUUGGAACCCCCAUAUAGUAACCAAGAAGAAAUCGAGAGACAUACUCAUCUUUCAUAGUAGCAAAUCUACUCGCUUGCAUUUCAUGAAAUAGAAAUUUUGGAGAGAGAAUUUAAAGUAUCAGUUCGUGAAGCUUAACAAAUGCAUUAACAGUGCAGUAUGUGAAAUUGGAGCGGCAGUUGAGGAAUAAACGCAAGAAAACUGUUGUCGGUUAAAAAAAAUUUGACCUUUAAAAGUGAAACUAUUUCUAGAGUAUAUACGAACAGCUUCCUCUAGAGAGACAUGAUAUACAACAGCAUUCAUCUGAAACGUUAUGUAUCGAACAAGAUACACAGGGACAUUUUGACAUUUACAUGAUACAAAAAAAACCAAGGUCAUGCCUCUGGUUUAACAAAACAAAACGUCUCCUAUAUAGCAAAUUUCUUCAAAAUAAUAUCUACGAUAUCAUAUUUCUCCACUUGUCCUUCAAGUCACCCUGAACAAAAUAGUUUAGACUUCAAAAGUUGGAGUAAUAUAUAACCAGUGUAUAACAAGUAGAAUCAGAAAGCACUUACCGAUUGUCUCGUGGUAAAAAUGUCACGAUAAGCAUCUAAGAUGACCUUCCAGUUUCCAAUACCAUACCUACCAAAAAACGGAAAACAUUUAGAGCGCUAAACCUUGUCUCAGUACUUUUCAAUGUCAGAGGGAGUAAGACAUGCUCCGUACUUCUGUACACCAGUUCUCAAAGUGUCUUCUUCCAGCGCACUCCAUUUCACGGGCUUUCUCCUCGUGGUGAUUUUUUUAAAUUCAUACUUCUUCAGGGGAGAAACUUUUGUCCUCUUUGGGCUAGGUAAAGUAACCCUAUUCACACCACUUGGUGAUCCUUCAUUUAUAUCAUCCAAGAAAGAGUCCCACUGUAUAUACAAUUCAGAAUUUGUUUCCAUUAGAAAGCACAAAAUUGCAAAUCAUUUUCAGGAUACAACAACAACAACAUACCCAGUGUAUUCCCAAUUUCCCACAAAGUGGGGUCUGGGGAGGGUAAUGUGUACGCAGUCCAUACCACUAUCUCAGAUGAAAUAGAGAAACUGUUUCUGAUAGACCCCUGGCCUUCCGUAUAUUAGGAUAAUUUUCCCAAAUACAGUUUCUGUACCUAGGACAAUUUUUUCAAACAAAAGUAUUCUGUAAUGUUUAGGCUCUAAUUUAUUUCUGGGAAAACCAAAUCUAGAGCUAAUAUAUGAUCUAACCUCACUAUUUCACAAAAAAUCAUUUUGUUACUUGGCUUGGCAAAAAGUUGUGCACAUACGGUUACAAAAAAACCAUUUAGUCACUAGUCUAGUAAAGCUUUGAGAAUAAACAAGAAUAUCUUGCAUCGAAGAAUUCCAGUGACUAUACAUUCAAGAGCACAUUGAAGAGUCUUGUGCAUCAAAACAUGCCAAGAAGCAGCAUUUGAGCAUUUAUGUUUAAGCAGUUGGAGGCAAGUACUUUUUUUCAAUGCAUAUACCUCAAAUGUAUGGGCAGCACUGCUUCGGUUCGCUAGAUCUGGCUUGGAUGCAGCAGCAUGAUGACAAUUUUGCUGUGCCUCACGGUUCUCCCCACCGGCUUGAGCCAUUCUGCUACUGGAAACCAUUGGUUGAGGGGCCAUGUCACUGUUAUUUUCAGCAGGCUGAUGACCCAUAUUAUCCCUUACCACAGAAGACAAAGUCUCAGCAAAACGUAGUGCAUCAGGUAGAGGAUCCUUCACCAUAGCACGCAGCUCCAAUGAACUCAAUUUAAGUGCUUUCUUAGCUAUCUUCACUUCAGCUGAAGAAUCAUCCUGUCCACCAGAUGCCUCAACUUCCGACUCAAUAGAAUCACUGAUCCUGAUACCUGAUGCUCCUCUGGUGCGUUUGAAAGCAACAUGUUUCUUCCUGGGCAAUGCAUUUCCUUUGCAUACCUCUGUAAGCAGAAAAAAACAAUCAUCUCGACAUAAAACUCAGAAAACUGAUAAGAGUUCAGCAAGCAAAAUGUCAAAAAAGUAAUCUUUACCCUAUAAUAAGUACAAACUGAUAUGGACAUUACAAGGAAAUGUAAAAAGUACUUCCUUUAUAUCUUAUCAAGGGUCCCCAUAUAAACUACACAAAGCAUACAAUUCAGUAUUCAACACCAAUAUACAUAAUUUGGUCAUCAUGCAUUAAACUAGAGGAAUAAGCAGAUCAUUGUACAAAUUUAUUAUCCGAAAUUUGAUCAUAUCAUAAAGUUCAAUAACACAUUCACCCUGCAUAUGUAAUAUUACAACAUUACCUUUUCCAUUUUUCUUACUAGCCCCUCCUUUGUUCACCUCUCCGAAAACUGACUUUACUGCUUCAUCAGUAUGGUAAGUUUCCGCGACAACUUCAAGAAAAGGAGCCCCAAUUCUCUCUUUAGCUUCUCUAACAAAAGCCUUAACCGCGUCAACAGCAAAAACGCCUUUACUUCUCCUUAUCACAUUCUCAGCACACCUAUCUUCCCAAAACGCCGCCUCUAUUUCAUCCCUCCAACUCCACAGCUCCUCCGAUACAACGCCUACAUUCUCCACUUUCUCUAUUAAAUCAAUCCUCCGUUUCCAUAUCCUCCUUACUGCUUCAAAAUACUUCCCUUUAUCACUUCCCGCCCUUUCACUUUUCAAAAACUUAACCGUACACUCCACUGCCACCGCACAAUAAGCGGCUUUCGUAGCCACUGAAUCCCUAAUUAUUCCUUCUUGAUGAUCCAAUUCCUCGAUUAAUUCCAUUAACUCGAGGAUUUUCUCAGUAACCGAACCGUUAGCAAUCUCGGAUUCGAUUUUUCUGACAAGCAGCGCCUUUUUGAGAUUCAAAUUGUCGUUCGGGAGCGGAAGAACGUUAAUGAGAUCGUUGAGAAUGUUGUCGUCGAGUGGUUGUCGGAGAAUGAAUUCGAGAAUCCAUUGGGAAAUAUGGGUGUCGAUACCCAUUCGUAAAAGCAACAAAUGGAAACCCUAAAUCCCCAAAAUUGAUUUUUGAAAUUGCCUACGUAGUUCUUCUAGGGUUUUUAUCGGGUCGGGUCGGGUGCUCGUCAGCUUCUUCGCCGGUUGCAUAAAAGUUCCGACCAAAAUACUCCGGCGCUGCUCCGAUUAAAUAAUUCUAGUUGUUUGUUUGAAUUUGAAAGGUGAAGUCCUGUGUACGCAAUGGUAAAAAUAAUUUACUUAGAAAAUUGUGCCAAUUUGACAAUUGAUUUCUUAAAUCAUUUUAAAUAAGUUUUGAAUAAUAUAAAAACUACACAAAAACUAUAAAACUUUUUGUAAUUAAAUACUACUAUCUGAUUUCCUGUAUAGGAACAGUGUAUAAACUAGAGCAAAGAAUAUUUAGAUCAUCUCAUUCCUUUUUAAGAUUAUUUUAAAAGAAUUUAGUAAGUCGUUAAAGUAGGAGCUAGACGGAAAAUUUUAUGGUGGAAGAGGUCCAUCACGUCAUAGUUGUAAGAGGGUGUCCAUUAAUUGACAUUUGGCGUGGUGGGCCCCACAUUAAUUUUUUUAAAGCCAAUAUAGUGUGAAAGGAUGUGUCCAAAGUAUAAAUAAAAUAGGAAAAAGGCAUCGUUUCCACCUUAAAUUAUAUCCGAAAAGUCUAAGUCAAACUUAAACUAUACUAGUGACCUAUUACACACCUUAACUAUAACAAAAUGAUAUUAUUAUCUCCCCGCAACCCUCAUUCUAAGGCGCGUGUAUUACACUUAUUUUAGGCGCGUCCAUCCUAUUAAAUAACAAAAGUAAACGGCUAAAAACGUUAAGGAAAAAGUCAUCAUUUCCAUCCCAAACUAUAGUUGAAAAGUCGAAUCCACACCUAAACUAUAUAAGUGACCUAUUACACACUUUAACUAUAAAAAAGUGAUACUUUUUACUGACUUGGUGCUGACGUGGCAGCGCGUGUAAAACACUACACCACAUGCAAGUGGUGGUAGCCUGACAGGGUGCAAAUGGUUUCACUUUUUUAUAAUUUAUGUGUGUAAUAGGUCACUAGUAUAGUUUAGGUGUGGUUUCGACUUUUCGAGUAUAGUUUAGGGUGAAAACGAUGACUUUUUCCAAGAAAAUAAAUUUGAAAUGUUAGUGGAUGGUGGGGUCCGCAUGCAUUCAUUGUUAUCCUUUGAAAGAAGAAAUUUCUUCAGAAACCUAACAAACACUUGAAAAUUCACGCCUUGUUCUUCCUUGUUCUUUUAACUCAAAAGCCUUGUUAAAAUCAAAAUAGACCCACGCCUUAUUCUUCCUUUUUCCCAGACCCAUGCCUUGUUCUUCCUUUUUCUUUUACUCAAAAGCCUUGUUAAAAUCAAAACAGUUUCUGUAGAUCAAGUCAAGAAAUUUCUUUAAAAUUUUGAUAUUUAAUAUUAGUUAGUGUUGCUGUUGAUUCAAAGAAAAACGAAUUGAGAUUUGAAGAAGAAGAGAAUAUAGGAGAAAACCCCUUUCAAUCUAAUGCAAAAAAGGAUCAAAAAUUGGGUGAAAUCUCCAUGAAUUUUCUUUUGCUUAUUUAAUCAUCCAUGAUUUCAGGUAUGAAACUUUCUUUAUUUUUUUUAUGAUAUCUUUAUGCUGUCUAUACAACUAAAUAAAAAAAAGUUUAUAAAUACAUGAUAAUUUAAAUUUUAAUAGAUUUUCUUUGCAUGUUAAUUGUAACAUCAAAAUACAAAAAUAGUAUUUGUUUGCACUGAUUUUGCUGCUAAACUAAGAGCAUAUUAUACAAAAAAUCAAGUCCACAAUAUAAUCUCCUUCAAAAAUAAAAUUGAAUUUCUUCUGAAAUUUAUUUACUUGAUCCCUGGCUCUGCAUGCAAGCUUCAGAUUACAGAUUCAUGUUUUAAGUCAAAAAUUGACUGAAAAUGUUGGGUGAAUCUGCAUGUAACUAUGUAUUUGAUUUUAAAAAAAAUAAAUUAACAGUCAUAAAAAUAUAUAUUAAAGUCUCUGUUAGUUAUAUUUAGAAACAUAUUAGAAGAGAAAUCAAACCUCAGAAAUUAAUUCCAUAGACUGAUGUUGUAUUUGCUGCAUCGAGGUUGAUUGUGUGCUUAAGUCAGUGUUAUAUUCAAAGAUUGAUGAUUCUGUGCUAGUACUGCUUUGUUUUUUAAUGCCAUCUGUGAUUUUUUUUUUUUUUUGCUCACCUUUUGACUUCAUUCUUCCAUAUCCAUUCUCCUUUUUUUUUUAUUGGAUCCAAAAUUUGAUCUGUACACCCUGUUACAGAAUCGACAGAAUUAAAUCUGUGUUUAUUUUUACCACAAUCUCCAUUAUAUAUCUCACUUCGAUGUUUAGUAAUCUCGAUUCUUGCUUGAUACAAAUAUUUUCUAGCAAUUUCUUCGGAAUCCUCAUAAUUUGCGGCUAAAGUCAUAACAUCAAAUGCCUCUUUCAUUAACCCAUUCAAAUGAAUUGUCAUAGAGGAUUUUACUGUUUUCUUCUUUGUGAUGUAUUCCUCAAAUUUGUCUCCAUGCUUAGCAUUCUUGGACCAUCUUUUCAAAAUAUAUUUCUCAGGAAGGUAAGAAAAAUUCAAGUCAAAGAAUAGAACUUUUAGUGCGUGACAACAUAACCAACCCAUAAGAAAAAUUCAAGUCAAAGAAUAGAACUUUUAGUGCGUGACAACAUAACCAACCCAUGAACUCAAACAUAUGACAACUACAAAUAACUGAAUUUUCAAGGGAAUUAAACUGGACAACUUCAGUUUGUCCAUUUUCACCCGUUAAAAUUGUAUAUUUAGUAGUAUUGUCAUUAGUUUCAGCACUGAGUGUUCUUUUGGUUGCCCCUUGCAAAAAUUCAUGUUGAAAUCUUGUGUAAAUUCUUCUAGUGUACACACUAGCCGCAUGUUUUAACAUCUCACAAUCUUCUAUGGAUAUUUUAGGCAUUCCUCGAGAUUUAUCAUCCUCGGCUGCUUCAAUAUCUUGCAUUUCAGUUGUUCGCUGCUCAUAAUGCUUUACAAACUCAGUUAUACUCAUUGCCUUGCAUCUCAUUUCUGUGAAGAUCCUAUUUGUGCUCUCACUUCUUUGAGUUGAUUUGAUGUCUGCCGAGAAAAUUAAACGACUAAAUGCAGGACACCACUUUUUUCUCAAAUCAUAUAACUUUUGAAGCCAAGUAUUACUCGCACAAUCUUAUUCACUUAUCAUUUUAUGUCAUACUAAAUUAAAUUCUGAUUUCGAAUUGCACCUCCACAAGAGUGUAUCAAAAUGGUAUCAAAAUUCCGACUUAAAGUAAAGCUGGGGUAUAUUUUUUUGAGCAUUUUUAUCAAUAUGUCAUUCGCAUAGUCGAUGACACGUGUUAGGAAAGACCUCUUUAAUUGCCAAGGCAUGGCAGGAGCUUGAUCGGUAAAAAUUGUCUUUGGUAUUUUUCCCUCCAUUGCCUUCAAAAAUGCUUGAAAUAACCAAACAAAUGAGCCAAUGCUUUCAUUGCAUAAGAAUGCACAACCAAAAAAGGUAUUUUUCCAGUGGUUGUUCACACCAAUAAAUGAAGCACAAAUCAUGUCAUAUCUAUUUGUACGAUAAGUAGUGUCAAAAAUCAUCACAUCCCCGAAACACUCAUAGUGCAAUUUAGAUAUACUAUCUCUUCAAAAAAAAUUGCACAACCUACCAUCUUCAUCAACUUGAAAAGAAUAGAAGAAGUUUGAGUCCUCUGAUUGCAAAUGCAUAAAAUCAUUUAUCAAAGUUUGAGCAUCUCCAAUACUAAUCAUAUUUUUCUUAUGUGCUUGAACAAAGUUAUGAGCAUCUUGUUCAAUGAAUCCUACAUUUUCAACUCCCUCCGUUACAUUCUGAAGAUAUCGAACAACUUUUUUUGUACGAAUACUGGCAUCAAUCAUAGAACCAAGAAUAUUUUUAGUAGCAUUUAUAAGCCUAUGACCAGAAUGUAUGAAAUGUUUCAAAUUAUCUUCUAUCAUGGGAUGACUAUGCAAAUCAUUGAAUUCACAAACUUUCAAUAUUCCAUUUGAAAUUUUAUAUUUUAUAUGAGCCAUACAACCACAUCUAUAUUCUAAUCUUUAUGCUUUCUUUCUUGAAAAGGAGAAAGUUUAUCCGAUUGUCCUUCACAAGAACAAAGAAAUAAACGUCUUGUUGUCUCUCCUUUUACACUAUUAGUCUUUCCUCCCUUUUGAACACCAAAACCUCUUGCCACGGCAUAUGAAUUAUAUGCAUUGUAUGAUUCCUCUUCCGAAUUAAAUUUCAUGUCAAUCUCAAAAAUAAAGUUCUUGCUAGUGGUACAAAUAUUAGGCUCGUUAACGCUGAAAUCUACAAUAAUAAUUUUUAAUUGUAAGUAUCAAAAUUUAAUAAAUAGAUAAACUAUAGAUAGUAUUUAUUUAUUAGAGAUCUCUACACUUAAAUUACCUUCAUGGGCAGAGGAGUCUUUGCCUUUGUCACCAUGUGCAUCUUCCAUUUUUCUUUUCAAGCACAGUCUGUAUAAGACAAAAUUUACAAAAAUUAUUUUUUAUGUUGACAGGAUCAAUUGACCACGAAGAUCAUUCAAUGAAUGAUACACAAGAUAUGGACACAAUGAAAAGAAAAUAUUGAGAAGUGAAUGACAUAUGUUAACGUUAGAUAUUUGUAUACGAAAAUAAGUAAUAGCAUUACAUAUGUAUAUAAAAUAAGGUGAUUUUAAAAAUAUAAAUAAUAAUGAGAGAAAGAAAUGAAAGAAUAAAGGUCAUAGAUGGAUACAUCAAAAAAAUUUCUUCUAAAUUUUGCUUGAGUGAGAAUGCUGUGAGAGCAAUGAGUGUGAAACUACUUCAAAAGUUUUGCUUUAGUUGGUUUUGGAUGUAGUAGAAAGAAACUAAUUAAGGAGGAAAAAAUGUAUUCUCUUUCGCUCCAUAUUUAUUGUACUAUAUAUAGUCUUAGUCUUUCCCUCCAUUUUUAUUGUAUUGUAUAUCCAGUCUUUUGUCAUUGUAUUUAAUAUUUAAUUUAAUUUCUUUUGCAAAGUAUCAAGGUGGACCCCACUUUUCAAGUGUCAAUCAAUAAAUGGAUCCUCUCACAACUUGUGUUGGUUGGACCUCAACCAUAGUAAAAUUUUUCAUUUGGUUUCUGAAGAAAUUUCUUCUUUCAAAGGAUAACAAUGAAUGCAUGUGGACUCCACCAUCCACUAACAUUUUAAAUUUAUUUUAUUUGUAUUUUGGACACAUCCUUUCACACUUUAUUGGCUUUAAAAAAAUUAAUGUGGGGUCCACCACGUCAAGUGUCAAUUAAUGGAUGCCCUCUUACAACUAUGACGUGGUGGACCUCUUCCACCAUAAAAUUUUUACUAUGAUUGAGGUCCAACCAACACAAGUUGUGAGAGGAUCCAUUUAUUGAUUGACACUUGGAAAGUGGGAUCCACCUUGAUACUUUGCAAAAUAAAUUAAAUAAAAUAUUAAAUACAAUGACAAAAGACUGCAUAUACAACACAAUAAAAAUGGAGGGGAAAACUAAGACUAUAUAUAGUACAAUAAAUAUGGAGGGGAAGAGAAUACCUUUUUCCCUCCUUAGUUAGUUUCUUUCUACUACAUCCAAACCAACUAAAGCAAAACUUUUGAAGUAGUUUUUCGCUCCUUGCUCUCACAACAUUUUCACUUAAACAAAUCUUAGAAGAAAUAUUUUUGAUGUAUCCAUCUAUGACCUUUAUUCUUUCAUUUCUUUCUCUCAUUAUUAUUUAUAUUUUUACAAUCACCUUAUUUUAUAUACAUAUGUAAUGCUAUUACUUAUUUUCGUAUACAAAUAUCUAAUGUUAACAUAUGUCAUUCACUUCUCAAUAUUUCCUUUUCAUUGUGUCCAUAUUUUGUGUAUCAUUCAUUGAAUGAUCUUUAUGGUCAAUUGAUCCUGUCAACAUAAAAAAUAAUUUUUGUAAAUUUUAUGUUAUGCAGACUGUGCUUGAAAUAGAAAAGUGGAAGAAGCACAUGGUGACAAAGGCAAAGACUCCUCUGCCCAAGAAGGUAAUUUAAGUGUAGAGAUCUCUAAUAAAUAAAUACUAUCUAUAGUUUAUCUAUUUAUUAAAUUUUGAUACUUACAAUUAAAAAUUAUUAUUGUAGAUUUCAGCGUUAACGAGCCUAAUAUUUGUACCACUAGCAAGAACUUUAUUUUUGAGAUCAUUGGCUAAGAAAGCGACAAAGAUUAGAAUAUAGAUGUGGUUGUAUGGCUCGUAUAAAAUAUAAAAUUUCAAAUGGAAUAUGAAAAGUUUGUGAAUUCAAUGAUGUGCAUAGUCAUCCCAUGAUAGAAGAUAAUUUGAAACAUUUCAUACAUUCUGAUCAUAGGCUUACAAAUGCUACUAAAAAUAUUCUUGGUUCUAUGAUUGAUGCCGGUAUUCGUACAAAAAAAGUUGUUCGAUAUCUUCAGAAUGAAGUGGGUGAAGUUGAAAAUGUAGGAUUCAGUGAACAAGAUGCUCAUAACUUUGUUCAAGCACAUAAGAGAAAUAUGAUUAGUAGUGGAGAUGCUCAAACUUUGAUAAAUUAUUUUAUGCAUUUGCAAUCAGAGGACUCAAACUUCUUCUAUUCUUUUCAAGUUGAUGAAGAUGGUAGGUUGUGCAAUUUUUUUUGGAGAGAUAGUAAUCUAAAUUGCACUACGAGUAUUUUGGGAAUGUGAUGAUUUUUUACACUACUUAUCGUGCAAAUAGAUAUGACAUGAUUUGUCCUCCAUUUGUUGGUGUGAACAACCACUGGAAAAAUACCUUUUUUGGUUGUGCAUUCUUGUGCAAUGAAAUCAGUGGUUCAUUUGUUUGGUUAUUUCAAGCAUUUUUUAAGGCAAUGGAGGAAAAAACACUAAAGAUAAUUUUUUCCGAUCAAGCUCCUGCCAUAACCUUGGCAAUUAAAGAGGCCUUUCCUAACACGUGUCAUCGACUAUGCGAAUGGCAUAUUGAUAGAAAUGCUCAAAAAAAUAUACCCCAGCUUUACUUUAAGUCUGAAUUUCGACACUAUUUUGAUACACUCUUGUGGAGGUGUAAUUUGGAAUCAGAAUUUGAUUUAGUAUGGCACAAAAUGAUAAGUGAAUGGGAUUGUGCGAGUAAUACUUGGCUUCAAAAGUUAUAUGAUUUGAGAAAAAAAUGGUGUCCUGUAUUUAGCCAUUUAAUUUUCUCGGCAGACACCAAAUCAACUCAAAGAAGUGAGAGCACAAAUAGGGUCUUCACAAAAAUGACAUGAAAAGCAAUGAGUAUAACUGAGUUUGUAAAGCAUUAUGAGCAGCGAACAAAUGAAAUGCGAGCUAUUGAAGCAGCCAAGGAUUAUAAAUCUCGAGGAAUGCCUAAAAUAUCCAUAAAAGAUUGUGGGAUGUUAAAACAUGCUGCUAGUGUUUGCAUUCGAAGAAUUUACACAAGAUUCCAACAUGAAUUUUUGCAAAGGGCAAUCAAAAGAGCACUUAGUGCUGAAACUAAUGACAAUAAAAUAUACAAUUUUAAAGGGUGAAAAUGGACAAACUGAAGUUGUCAAGUUUAAUUUCCUUGAAAAUUCAAUUAUUUGUAGUUGUCAUAUGUUUUGGUCCAUGGAUUGGUUAUGUUUUCACACACUAAAAGUUCUAUUCUUUGACUGAAAUUUUUCUUACCUUCCUGAGAUAUACAUUUUGAAAAGAUGGUCCAAGAAUGCUAAGCAUGGAGACAAAUUUGAGGAAUACAUCACAAAGAAGAAAACAGUAAAAUCCUCUAUGGCAAUUCGUUUAAAUGGGUUAAUGAAAGAGGCAUUUGAUGUUAUGACUUUAGCCGCAAAUAAUGAGGAUUUCGAAGAAAUUGCUAGAAAAUAUUUGUAUCAAGCAAGAAUCGAGAUUACUAAACAUCAAAGUGAGAUAUAUAAUGGAGAUUGUGGUAAAAAUAAAUACAGAUUUAGUUCUGUUGAUUCUGUAACAGGGUGUACAGGUCAAAUUUUGGAUCCAAUGAAAAAAAGGAAAGAGAAAUGGAUAUGGAAGAAUGAAACCAAAAGGUGAGCAAAAAAAGAAAAAAAAAACAGAUGGCAUUCAAAAACAGAGCAGUACUAGCACAGAAUCAUCAAUAUUUGAAUACAACACUGGCUUUCGGCGCACAAUCAAUCUUGGUGCAACAAAUAGAACAUCAGUCUAUGGAAUUAAUUUCUGAGGUUUGAUUUCUCUUCUAAUUUGUUUCUAAAUAUAACUAACAGAGACUUUAAUAUAUUUUUUUAUGACUGUUAAUUUUUUUUUAAAAAUCAAAUACGCAGUUACAUGCAGAUUCACCCAGCAUUUUCAAUCAAUUUUUGACUCAAAACAUGAAUCUGCAAUCUGAAAAUCCAUGGAGAUUUCACCCCAUUUUUAAUCCUUUUUUGCAUUAGAUUGAAAGGGGUUUUCUCCUAUAUUCUCUUCGUCUUCAAAUCUCAAUUUGUUUUUCUUUGAAUCAACAACAACACCAACUAAUAUUAAAUAUCAAAAUUUUAAAGAAAUUUCUUGACUUGGUCUACAUAAACUGUUUUGAUUUUAACAAGGCUUUUGAGUAAAAGAAAAAGGAAGAACAAGGCAUGGGUCUGAGAAAAAGAAAGAAUAAGGCGUGGGUCUGUUUUGAUUUUAACAAGACUUUUGAGUUAAAAGAAAAAGGAAGAACAAGGUGUGGGUCUGCUUUGAUUUUAACAGGGAUUUUGAGUUAAAAGAACAAGGAAGAACAAGACGUGAAUUUUCAAGCGUUUGUUUGAUUUCUGAAGAUAUUUCUUCUUUCAAAGGAUAACAAUGAAUGCAUAUGGACCCCACCAUCCACUAACAUUUCAAAUUUAUUUUAUUUGUAUUUUGGACACAUCCUUUCACACUUUGUUAGUUUUAAAAAAAUUAAUGUGGGGUCCACCACGCCAAGUGUCAAUUAAUGGACACCCUCUUACAACUAUGACAUGGUGGACCUCUUCCACCAUAAAAUUUUCCGAAACCAAACAAACACUUGAAAAUUCACGCCUUGUUCUUCCUUGUUCUUUUAACUCAAAAGCCUUGUUAAAAUCAAAAUAGACCCAGGCCUUGUUCUUCCUUUUUCUUUUAACUCAAAAGCCUUGUUAAAAUCAAAAUAGACCCACGCCUUAUUCUUCCUUUUUCUUAGACCCACGCCUCGUUUUUCCUUUUUCUUUUACUCAAAAGCCUUGUUAAAAUCAAAACAACUUCUGUAGAUCAAGUCAAGAAAUUUCUUUAAAAUUUUGAUAUUUAGUAUUAGUUAGUGUUGCUCUGAUUCAAAGAAAAACGAAUUGAGAUUUGAAGACGAAGAGAAUAUUGGAGAAAACCCCUUUCAAUCUAAUGCAAAAAAGGAUCAAAAAUUGGGCGAAAUCUCCAUGGAUUUUCUUUUGCUUAUUUAAUCAUCCAUGAUUUCAGGUAUGACGCUUUCUUCAUUUUUUUAUGACAUCUUUAUGAUGUCUACACAACUAAAUAAAAAAAAUUAUAAAUACAUGAUAAUUUAAAUUUUUAUAGAUUUUCUUUGCAUGUUAAUUGUAGCAUCAAGAUACAAAAAUAGUAUUUGUUUGCACUGAUUUUGCUGCUAAACUAAGAGCAUAUUAUAUAAAAAAUCAAGUCCACAGUAUAAUCUCCUUCAAAAAUAAAAUUGAAUUUCUUCUGAAAUUUAUUUAUUUGAUCCCUGGCUCUGCAUGCAAGCUUCAGAUUGCAGAUUCAUGUUUUAAGUCAAAAAUUGACUGAAAAUGCUGGGUGAAUCUGCAUGUAACUGCGUAUUUGAUUUUUUAAAAAAUAAAUUAACAGUCAUAAAAAAAAUAUAUUAAAGUCUCUGUUAGUUAUAUUUAGAAAUAGAUUAGAAGAGAAAUCAAACCUCAGUUGGUGGGUUUGGGUCGCUAGUGUAGGGAGUUACUUGGUGGGGGUUUUAUUCUUGUUAUGAUUCCGUGUUCCAUGUUUUAUUACGAAUCUGUGUGCUUUCCUCUGUUUUCUAAUACUUAUGGGUGCCGUAUUUAUGUUAUGUAAUCUAGUUCUGUUCUUUACUAUGAGUUUUUGUGGUAUCUCGUGACUUGAGCCGGGGGUCUAUCGAAAACAGCCUUUCUACUUCUUUAGAGGUAGAGGUAUGGACUGCGUACAUCUUACCCCCCCCCAGACCCCACUAGGUGGGAAUACACUGGGUUUGUUGUUGUUUGUUGGACUAAUGUUGUAUUUGCUGCACCAAGGUUGAUUGUUGUUGACACCUAAUUUUUGCCCUCAACGACUAAGUUUAAUUUUGAAUUUCUUCGAUCUUUGAUAAAAUUACAACAUUUAUUUUACCGAAUGAAGAAACUUUUCAAAAAAAGUUAUCAGGAUAAUUUUGUCAUUUCAAGUAGCGAUUAUAUAUUACUAUAUUCAAUUAUACGAAAUCAUAUAAUUUUGAUACUUAAAUGUUUGUUUUACAAAAUAUCGUAUUAUAAUUAAGGCUUACGUUGAAAUAAGUUUAUAAUCUUAAUUUAAUUAUAAUUUAUUCUCAAAAAUAAUUUAUUCGGACAGACAUUUGUUGAUUUUAUUAAAUCAAGAAACUCAGGAUUAAAAGAAGUAUUAAUUCAUAUUUAAUUUCAAUUCAAUUUAAUCAAUCUAUUAAAUGUGAUCAUAAAUUGAAAUUAAAUUGGCCACAAUCACAAUACAUUUGGCCAAUUAAUCUUUAAUUUGAUCAAAAUUUAAUUAGAAUGGGUUAAAUGUUAAUUGAAACUAUUUUUCUAAACUAUCCAUCCCAUUUUUUUAAACCUAAUUUUGCCAAACACCUAGGCCCAUUUCAUAUUUUCUUUAAACAGCAGCCCAUUUCUCCCUUUUUAAUUACCAGCCCAACAUACCCUUAAUUAGCCCAUUCCAUUCUCCAAAUACCCAACACCCUGUCCUAAUAUCCUCCGACCCGGGCCCAAUCCCUUUAUCCAUCUUCUUUCCUCACUCACAACUCAAACAGACCCCAAAGAAACCUAGCGUAUAUCGACCUUCAACAUCCAACAACAACUAGUCAAGUCUCAAUCGAAAUCCAUCUAAACCAUGCCGACCCGAGUUCCAACCGGCCUUUCUUCCUUGUCACGUGCCUUUCCACGUGAGCAGGUACGAAGGAAAUUUGAGAAUCUUCUAGAAACACACCUAGGUGUCCUAUCCAACGUUUCAAUCCCACGAAUCUUGGGAUAAUGGUACAAUUUUCGCACAUAUUUGGCGACUUUUCAUUGGAUCUAGGGGGGAAUUGAUUUUUUCCCAAUUCUAUUGGUCCAUACUUUUCAAUCCGUUUUGGAAGAAUCCAAAAAAAUGGAGGCACCAAGUACGAAGGCCAUCGAGGGAGAAGUUGGGAGGACCCUCAUUCUUGUGACUAUAAAAAGCUCAUUCAUUGAGCUGAAAAGGAGAUUUUUUUGGGGGGAGAUUUUUUUUCUGGGGGGAUCUAGGGUUCUAAGUUGGGAAAUUUUGGGUCACGGCUUAAGGGUUUCUUUUUCUUGGUUCUCUUCUUUCCUUUCUGGUAAAAAAGAAUUGUUAGAAAUUCUGGGGCUUCUUUUUUGGGUUCGAAAGAUUGGAGGUGGGGAAGAAUCUGGGGGCUUAAAAUUUUUUUUGGGGAGAAGAAAAAGGAUCUAAAAAGGGAAAAAAAGAUUUGAGCAUUAGGUCUUCUUCUAGUUAGAUUUCUUAAAGAGACGGUAAAGUUUUGAAGCAAAAGAAGCUUUGAUAGUGGUCACCAUUACGAGAUUAUGGUGGUUGAUGUUCUGCAAUGAAGUUCGUUAUCCCAUUUCGCUGCUCCCCAAAAGGUAACAUUCCUCUUUCAUUAAAGUUUUCGACUACUUCUGUUUCAUCUCAUCAUUCUGUAGUAGAAAGUUAUUAUUCUAAUGAUCCUGCAUUAGGUGUUCACUGUAGAUUGUUAAUUGAUUUUUUAUUGAAUGCUUUUAUUUUGUAGGUUGCUUAAGUUUUGUAUGGUUGAUCUCGUUGAAGUUUUGAGCUUUAACAGUUUUCGGGUUGAUAGCAUCUUGUUAGGUCUGACUUUUAAGUUAAAGUUUUGUGCCUUGGAUUUUGUUUCGAGUAAAUGGUAUCCUGUUGAGGUUGGUUUCGGUGUUUAAAGUUACAUGCUUUGAUCCUAUUUUGGGCUGUCCGAAUUUUAAUAAGAUUGGUUUCGUAGUAAAUUUUCGUGUUUUGGUUUGGUCUAAUAAGUUUCAGGUUGAUGAAAUCUUGUUUACCUAAUUUUUAUGGUUAAAGUUUCGCAUUGCGAUUUUGUUCAAUACAUUUUGAGCUGCUGAAUUUUGUUUACCUGUUAACCCUACUCCCUUUGUUGUGGAAUUGCAAAGUUGGAAUCUUUUUUUCCUUUUGGAGUUUGUUUCAAGUCGGUAUUUCGUUUGCUUGAUCCCCGAAGAAAUGUGUUGGCUUUAUCGUAAAAGAGAAUGGAUAGGGUCUCUUUGAUGUCAAAAAUCAUUAUGUCAAGUUUCAAUAAAAAGGUUAUGAUCUUUAGUUGUUUGAACAGCUCUUAUGUCAAGUUUCAUUAAUUCUUGCUUAAGUUGUCGCUGUAUGUUAGUGUUUGCUAUCCAAGUUGGUAAAUUUAGGUAAAGUAUGUCAAUAAUUCAUGUCCUUUUAAAGGAAUGGUACAGUGAAGUGCUCUGUUUUAUUUCCCUGAAAAGAAUGGUUCUUUUCUUACUCAAUGUCAUAAAUGGGUCACUUUUGAAGUUUAUUUUAACCCCCUAACUCUAGUGUACGUCUCAUUGAUGGCUUGUUCUUGCUUACGAGAAUCCUUAGAAAUUUAGUCUUAAGUUUUUUUUUUUUUAGUUUAUAUGCGUGUCCAUGUACCAGUGAUAGCCGCAAUUGCGUUACUUUUUCUUGACUUUUUUCUAUAUCUUGACAUACUAUUUGCUAUGUCAUUUCAAAUUACAGUAUUCUUUUUUUUGUAUUGAUUUUGUUACGUCACUUAUCUGUAUGGCGUUCUGUACUUUGGAUAUGCAUAUUAAUCUCUCUUAUUUUUGUUUCUUGCAUUUGAAUCACUUGAGUCAAUCUUUCCCUCUUGCAUAUUCAUCGUCGGCCAAUGAGGCCCAUCUUAUUGAGUCAGCCUCAAAAGAAAGUCUAAAAGUCAGUCGUAUGGCACACGGAUACAAGGAGCCGAAGAAGGAAUGGGUGAAAUCUCAUAUUUGAAGCGACAAAGAGACUCAGGAGUUUCAUUUCCCUUUCUUGACAUCUCAUUUACAUAUUUAUUGUCGUUUGUUACUUAUUCAUUUAUUUUUUCAUUCAUGUAUUUGGGCCUCGAAGCCAAAUUUGUAAACUAAUAUAGGUGGAAGGAACUCGACCCAAAGACUCGAAGCAUAGAAUUAGGACAGAUGAAAAUGGGUCGAAAGCCCAAUUAGACUAGGACAGGUCUCAUUGAUUUGGGCCAAUGGCGUAAAUCCCUUACUUCUUCCCUUUCCCUUUGUUCUUUAUAUUUGUUUUUCUUUAUGUGCUUUGCGAACCUAGUUAAAACCUUAGUCAAGUCGCUAAAAAACUGAUUUUGUAUAAACACCAAAAUAUUUUUAAAAUUGCUCUCUUUUUUUCAAAUAAAUAAUUUUUCAAAGUUAGUCUAAAACGAUUUUCAAGCAGGUCGGAUAACCGUAAGUUAGCGGACGUUUUAGGUGCCUAACACCUUCCUAAAACGUUAAUAGGAACCGCUUAUUCAGAAUUUCUUAACUUAAAACAUUUUUUUUGUUUUGAAUCGUUUGAAGUAACUAUCUAAAGGUUUCUUAAUUCCUUCUCAAAAUUAAGUGUCGACUCUCUUUCAAAAGUCAAAAUUUCUCUGCAAAACAAUUGUGUGCCGAAAGCCAGUGUUGUAUUCAAAGAUUGAUGAUUCUAUGCUAGUACUGCUCUGUUUUUGAAUGCCAUCUGUGAUGUUUUUUUCUUUUUUUUCUCACCUUUUGGCUUCAUUCUUCCAUAUCCAUUUCCCUUUUCUUUUUUUUAUUGGAUCCAAAAUUUGAUCUGUAUACCCUGUUACAGAAUCAACAGAACUAAAUCUGUGUUUAUUUUUACCACAAUCUCCAUUAUAUAUCUCACUUUGAUGUUUAGUAAUCUCGAUUCUUGCUUGAUACAAAUAUUUUUUAGCAAUUUCUUUGGAAUCCUCAUCAUUUGCAGCUAAAGUCAUAACAUCAAAUGCCUGUUUCAUUAACCCAUUCAAACGAAUUUCCAUAGAGGAUUUUACUGUUUUCUUCUUUGUGAUGUAUUCCUCAAAUUUGUCUCCAUGCUUAGCAUUUUUGGACUAUCUUUUCAAAAUGUAUUUCUCAGGAAGGUAAGAAAAAUUCAAGUCAAUGAAUAGAACUUUUAGUGCGUGACAACAUAAACAACCCAUGGACUCAAACAUAUGACAACUACAAAUAAUUGAAUUUUCAAGGGAAUUAAACUGGACAACUUCAGUUUGUCCAUUUUUACCCUUUAAAAUUGUAUAUUUGGUAGUAUUGUUAUUAGUUUCAGCAUUGAGUGUUCUUUUGGUUGCACCUUGCAAAAAUUUAUGCUGGAAUCCUAUGUAAAUUCUUUUAGUGUACACACUAGCAGCAUGUUUUACCAUCCCACAAUCUUCUAUGGAUAUUUUAGGCAUUCCUCGAGAUUUAUAAUCCUCGGCUGCUUCAAUAUCUCGCAUUUCAGUUGUUCGCUGCUCAUAAUGCUUUACAAACUCAAUUAUACUCAUUGCCUUGCAUGUCAUUUCUGUGAAGACCCUAUUUGUGCUCUCACUUCUUUGAGUUGAUUUGAUGUCNNNNNNNNNNNNNNNNNNNNNNNNNNNNNNNNNNNNNNNNNNNNNNNNNNNNNNNNNNNNNNNNNNNNNNNNNNNNNNNNNNNNNNNNNNNNNNNNNNNNNNNNUUGAUUUAAAUAUGAUUUAUUCUAAAAAUAAUCUAUUCGGAGAAAUAUCUAUUCAAUUUUAUCGAAUCAAGAAGCUCAGGAUUAAACAAGGUGUUAACUCGUAUCGAAUUUCGAUUUUAUUUAGUCAAUUUAUUAAAUUUGACUCUAAUUGAAAUCAAAUUGGCCCCAAUUGUAAUGCAAUUGACCGAUGAGAUAUUCAAUUUGGUUAGAGUUUAAAUAAGUUGCCUAAAUUAUAAUCUUAAUCCCCAAUUACCUUUUCUUAAGUGGGAUUAUUUUAAUCCAAUAAAAUUUAAUUAAGGUUAUUUAAUAACUCCAAUUAAAAUAACCUUAAUUAAAUUUAAUUGGGUUAUUAAAUAAUCCCAACAUAACCUAAUCUAAACCAAAAUCAGCCCAUUCCCUUCACUAAUUAAUCCAACAACUCAGCAGCCCAAUUACACCCACCAACCCAGGCCCAAAAUCCCUCCGACCCGGCCUAGUCCCAUAAUCUUUAUCCUCUUUUCUUCAAGAACCUACGCGUACAACCAUCCAAGAACAAAAAUACAACGUACAACAAUAAUUCCUAGCUUCAGUGAAACAACAGUCAAACCCGCCAACCCAUUCGGCCGAAAUCCAUCCAAAUCAACCCAUUUUCCCCCGAUUCCCCUUAUCUCACCCCACAUCCAACCCGUUUUCUACUUCCUCUUCACAGUCACGUGCUCUCCCACACGAUUUUGAUACGAAAUCUUUUAGAAAGAGGGUAAGGUGUUACCCCCAACGUCCGAAUUCUAUGAUUUUCGGGAUAACGCAUAUGGAUUCGUACCUGUUUGGCAAAUUUUUGUUGGUUCUUGGGAAAAUGAUCCAUUUUCCCCAAUGGUUGUUUGCCAUCUGUUGAAAAUCCGAUCAAGAAAAUCAAUAGGGGUACAAUUUGUGAGCAUUCUCCUCUUUUGAAUUCAAAAAACGAACCCUCAAACCCCCCUUUUAUAAAUAGCUCUCUUUAAGGUCUGAACCAAAAAAAAAUAA
rnacentral:lncRNA from 1 species